UAAUAGUCCCUAUUCUUAAUGUUAUCCCACUUCACAAUAAAUUUUGAUUAUAGAUACUUUAAGAAUAAUGUCCUAUAGUUUAAUUGGGUCUCAGGAUUAAUUAAGCCACAAUCUCUAAAGCGGUAAUAACAAAACAUUUUGGUUUUAUCGUAACAGCGCAAUGAUACCAUUAUCCAUGUGCUUUUAGCAAAUGACGCUAAUUAGUUAGCGAAAGCUAAUGGGUUAAUGGGCUUACAAUGUUCGUGUGGACAAGUAGAGACACUGCUACAUUGCUUUGUUGUGAUCGAAAUCCUUUUCAGCACUUCAAGAGGUAACAGUUUCAUCAUUGAUCAUGUCAAAUUCGUAAUGAUCCUAGGAAAGGAAAUCAUUUUUUUUUUAAUUUCCGCUGCCUUUAAUUAUCAUGAUUUCCCUUCAGUUUGUGCCACAUCAUUUUUGGCUCACUAGAUGUGAAGGAAGACUUAGAAAAUCUAUAAAAUAAAAAACUAUUAAAAAUACCUAGAUACUAAUGAGCUAGAUCAAAAUAUAAUUUAUGAGAAAAUAUUAUGGCGUAAUUUGAUUCUUGUAACUAACUCACUUACUCGAUAAGGUUUGGUUAAGGAUUAGUUGUUGUUGUUGUAUUUCUUCUUCAUUUAUUACACUUAAAAUUAUAUAUUUUUUAGACAAAACUGUGUAUUUUAAAUAACUUAGAAACACAUUAAAAUUCUUUAAAAAGUACGAUAUUACAUGAUGAUGUGUAUAUAUGAUAGCAUUACUUAGAACCUUAAUAUUUCAGUGAAAAAUAAUAAAAAUCACAAUUAAUAACGACAAUUUUAAUAGAAUUCAGUCAAUAAAUCACAAUUAUCAUUUUAUUUGAAAGAAAGUCACAGAAAAAAAAUGUACUACUAAACAUUAUACACUAUAGCCAUAUCUCUCAAGGCAACUUAAACUGCCUCAUAAUUGAAUAGUAGUCUUUUCUGAAUGAGGAAACAUACACUCUCAUAAUGCAGUUGUUGUACAUAUACAUGAGAUGUACUUUGAUCUUCACUACGAAACAAAAAGUAUUUGUUCAGUUAUGUCUUCAAGUCAUCCAAAGUGUCCGUCGGAGUUAAGAAAACCUUAAUCAUCUUCUUGAAAGAGGAAUAUGUCACAUAACCUUCAAUUUGUGCAUUUUGAGACAUAUUGAACUUGACAUAAGUUAAAAAAAAAAUAGUAGAAUAAAACAAAAGUACAUUAAUUUAUAAUAAAUACAGAAAUCAUAUAUAUAUAUAGUUACAUCUUGCCUCUUGGCCACAAAAAAUGGUCGUUACAUUAUAUAUCCCAAAAAAUACGUCGGUGCAUAUCGACAAAAAAAGGAUGAACACCGACAAAAAGUGUCAUAUUUUAUCUAAUGCAAAUAAAUCAUCUUCAUGUUUCGCGAGAACUUCGAAUUUUUCAUCUACUUUAAUCGGAGUGUCACACAAAAUUGGAUUGUGUUGGUUUGAAUCUUUUUUGGAUGAUAACGAUCUCUCUCCUCUUUCAAUAUUCAUGAGUGUUCGGAAACGAUCAUGUUGAUCCAAAAAUUCAUCUUUCCAUGAUGCCGCCUCUUCGCUCUUGUGAUUAUUCCACUCCGUAGAUGACUGAGGUAUUGGGCAAUCAUCUUUCAACAAAAGAAGAACAAAAUGAUUUGGGAUUAAACCAAGACAAAUGAUGUGACUUUUCGGGUUAAUUGAAGGCCUACCUCUAAUUGGGAAAAAAGUCUCUGAAAUUCCAAUUUCAAGGCUAGUUAUCUCUUCCACCGGCCUAUUAUAAUAAGUUGCAACAUUGUGACCCACAUCCGGCAAUGUCAACCAUUUAUCUGGAGGUGCAAAACCACUAUAAUUUUUGGGAGGAUAAAAUCCUUUCAAGAUGUAGUUAUAACGGCCCUCGUCCGCAUGUAUUCAUUCCUAUGCUCUUUCACCUCUUGAAUAAGUGCUCUCUGCACCAUAACAUGACUUUCUUCUAUCAAACCCAAGGACUCAGCUAUAGCCCUAAACCCACAAUUCCCAUCGCCUUUAACAUCCACAAUUUUCUCAAUUAAUGGUCUCAUGAAUUUUGGCAUGUAAUACAUAGGACUCCAUGGAUCAUAAAUUGUUGGAACCAAGAUAGGCUUUGGAAUCGAAGUUGGUGUUGGAGCCCGAUUUGGCGUUGGAAUCGACGAACAUGGAUAAAUGCCAAGGUGAGCACCUUUUCUUUUAGGUUAUGAAGAUUUUUUUUGGUGGUGAUGAUUGACUAUUUGAAAAUUGAGAAUCAAUAGUCUCCCACGAAGAUGGGAUCCGACGCGUCGAUGCCACUUUUGGUUUGAAAGAAAUAAAAUCAAUUUCCUCAAUAAAUCACAAUUAACAUUUUAUUUGAAAGAAAGUCACAGGAAAAAAAUGUACUACUAAACAUUAUGCACUAUAGCGAUGUCUCUCAAGGCAACAUAAACUGCCUCAUAAUUGAAUAGUAGUCUUUUCUGAAUGAGGAAACAUACACUCAUAAUUUUGUUCUGCCUAAAAUCACACUAGCUAACAAAUUACAUAUGAAUGAUUGACUGAGAUAUAAAAAAAUAAAAAAUCUAAUAAUCAUUCAUAAUUAGUAGCAGUUUCGGGAUAUUUGAACAUAAUCCCCAAAAGCAUCGUGUUAAAAGCGAGGGGAUUAAGUUCAUUAACGCAAGCUCUUCAAUCGGAUAUUUUGUGCCAAAUGGAGUAACUGCGAUCCAAUUUACACCCCUUUCCUGAUAGGUUGUUUCAAGCUCCUCGACUGUCUUGACUUGAGUUUCAGGUCGAUGCUUGGUACCAAGAAUCACACACGGGUUAAGAACUCUGUCACAUCUUCCUUGGCUUCAAUUGUUUCGAAGGAUCUCUUUUAGGAUUGUUUCAUAGCAGGUGUCAGAUAUCUUCUCGGACACAAUGAAUUGGACUCGCGGGGAUGUUCCUUGCAACACAAACUUGUUCCACAAAAGUCAGAAUGAAAACUCAGAUUCUACUGUCAAGGUUUUGUACUCUUGAUUAGCUAUUAUGUCCUACAAGAAAUUUCAUCAGCAUCGUUACCAAUAUAAAUAAAUUUUUAAAGAAACUCAUAAAAUAUUAUUAUAAAUGCCACUAACCUAUAUCCUUACUCGCUGAUAGAGUGAUAGUAGCACUGAAUACUGAUAUGAACUUAUUUUUCUGUGCUGUAGAUAAUUCUUAAAGACUAAAAAAAAAAGACAGAACAAUUUAUUAACAAUAAAAAUAAAAUGCAUUUUAAGAAGAAGAAGAUGAAGAUGAUGAUGAUAAAAGAAGAACAAGAAAAGAGAAUUUGAUGAUAAACAUAAUAGAAAACUCUAAAUUUCAUAUGUAAUAUGCAUUUUAAGAAGAUGAGCAUAUGUAAAUGUAUUUUAAGAAGAAGAAGAAGAAGAAGAAGAUGAUGAUGAUAAAACAAGAACAAGAAAAGAGAAUUUGAUGAUAAACAUAAUAGAAAACUCUAAAUUUCAUAUGUAAUAUGCAUUUUAAGAAGAUAAUCAGAAGUUAUGAUGAUGAUUAGUGUCUUCUAUUUUUAUACAUAUGCGGAAAAAAAUACAACAAUAGAUGAUGAAAAAUGAGAUACCAAUGUAGAAUUAAGUUUGAUAUUGUUCCUCGUCUAAAUUCAAAGUGGUAACCGGUGAAAUUUACCAUUUUUUUUAACUAAUGGAACAUUACAAAAUUAUUUAUUUGACAAAUAACAUAUACAUCUAUAGCAAUAUAUAAAUCUAUAACAAUAUAUGGAGGGAAUACAUGAUUUUUUGGGUUCGAUUUUUAAUUAUUCCAGCUAUACUCUUACACAAAUUUGUUUUUUAAAAAUGUUAUUUUAUUGGUAUUAUUGAAAAAGAUAAGAAUUUUUAUUAUAUUUGUUUCUUAAGUAAAUUAUAUUUAUUAUAUUAUUGGUAAAAGAUAAAUAUAUUUUGUUAUUAUUUAAAAGUCACAAACAUAUAUCUAUAAUUUUAAUCAAAAUCAAAAUCUAUAUCUAUAACAAUAUAUAAAGGGAAUACAAUAUAUAAAAGGAAUACAUUAUUUUUUUUUGCCCUGCAUUUUUCAUUAUUUUAGUUAUACCCUCAAACAAAUUUACUUUUAAGAAUGUUAUAUUGUUCUUUUAAAAAAAAAAAAAUGUUAUAUUGUUACUGUUAUUAAAAAAAAAAGAGCUUUUAUCUAUAUCUAUAACAAUAUACAAAGGCAAUACAUGAUUUUGCAUUGCCGGAUUUUUCAUUGUUCCAGUUAUACUCUUAAACAAAUUUAUUUUUAAGAAUGUUAUAUUGUUGGUGUUUUCGAAAAAGAUAAGUGUUUUUAUUAUAUUUUUUUAUUAUUGGUUAAAGAUAAACAUAGUUUUGUUACUAUUUAUAAGUCACAAACAUCUAUAUAUAUAAUUUUAAUCAAAAUCAAAAUUUUAUAAAAAAAAACAUUGUUUAUAAUUUACAUGCGUUUGCGCAGUAAAAAAAGCAGAUAAACGGGCAUGGAGUGUCCGUCUGAACGCUAGUAAUACAUAAAUGUAGUAUGAGUUUGAUGGAGGGUGAGGUAGCUCAAUUGAGUUGAGCUAAAGAUCAAUGAUUUAGAAGUCUUGAGUUCAAACAUGAUCGAAAGGGUAAAUAUUAAUCUAAUAACCAACUACUAACAUUUGACAUUCAAAAAAAAAAAAAAAAAGGAUUAAAAUUUACAAUCACUUGUUUUUCUAACAUAGAUAAUGAUCAUUCACAUGACAUACAUGUCUCCAAUAGUCACGCAUGUAGUUGAUUAUGUUUUUGAUUGAUUAAAAUAUGACUCCAAAAGUCAUAUUUCAUACAUGAUAAUGAUAAUAUAAUCUAUUACGUAUGAUUCAUCUAAUAUGAAAAAAUUAUUUUACUUUUAGUUUAAACUUAAUGCCAUACUAUUUGUAAAUUAAAAAUAAAAUCCUCCAUAUUAGAUAUUAGAUUAAGUUUUUUUAUCAAGGAGUUUAGUUGUUAAAAAUUCACUUUUCUAAGGUGAAUUAGUGGGGGUUUCUGGGGUUCGAACCCCGACUUCUGCGUAUAUAAUGUAAGUCUCUAUCAAUUGUGUUAAGCUCACAAAGAUAUAAGAUUAUGUUAAAAGCUAAUUUUGCAUUCUACUUGAAUGUAAAUUUAAUUUGUUAAAAUCAUGUUUCAUAAGUAGUAUGCAAUUAAUUAGCCCUUACCAUUUGGUCUUGUAUUGCAAUGGAUGUGAUAAUUGAUUAUGUUGGAAUAAAAUGUGUUUAGCAAUAAUAACCCUUAAGAGUUUUGAUGAUAACAAAGUAUUAAAAAUUGUCAAUUGGAUAUGUUAAUAUUUGUUCAAGUGUACAGGACUAUAGACAAAAAUUUGACAUCUUAAAAAGUCUUGAAAGAACAAGUAAAGAGCAAAUACAUCAACAAAAAUGGAAGCUUAAAGCGUCUGAAGAAAACUGCUCCUGAAGUUAAAAGUGCUCCUGAAGACAAAGUGCUCCUAAAGUGAUGACGUCAUCAGAAGCAAGUUCAUCAGAAGCUGUGAAUCACCAGAAGCUGCAAUUCAUCAGGAGAUGCAACUUAAAGCUUCAAAAGCCGUUUAAAGGAUUCAAACUCGUCUGAAGAUUGCUGAAGAUUGGAAAAGUAUAACAACGGCUAAUUUGGAAGGCAUUGGAUGCUUAUUCUUCAAAGAGCGUUGACAUAGUACGUUUGUACGAAUUGUACAACCACUAUCUCCACUACUCUGUUUUUGUCUCUGCUACAAGACAAGAAAAACAGCUCUGCCUGCAACAAUGUUUCUUCUCAAUGGGAAUACAUUUGAAAUUGAUCCUUCAUAGGACAAUAACCAUAUCAGGCAAAGAAUCAUUGGUGAUUGAUCAAAAGCUUCAACGACUCUAUUUUGAAUGUGCUGGCAAUUUAACGUCUCUUUCACACCUUUAUAUAAAGGAGUGAAGACUCAGAGUUUCAUAAGAACAAUACCAAUCAUUAGCUUAGCCAAAACUCUGCUGAAAUUGUUCUCCACUUCAAAGUUCACUUAGAAUUUCUUAUCAAAGCUCAUAUCUUAGAAAUUCUAGAGUCUUUAGAGUCUGUAUCUGAUUUGUAUUGUGAACACCACUGAUUGUAUAUCAAGUGUUCAACUUCAAACAAUUUUCUUUGUAAUUCUGUUUGAAUUCAGAAGUCUCUUGCAUUUGUGCUUGAUCAAUAGAAGUCUCUUGCAGUUGUGCUUGAGCAAUAGAAGUCUCUUGAUUGUGUUCAGGAGCAUAGGAAGUCUCUUGCAGUUGUGCUUGAGCAUUUGAAGUCUCUUACUAAGUUUAGUAGUGAGCAUUUGUAAUCAGAUAUUAUAUAGUGAACUCUCCUUGGAAGUGCAAGGGGGACAGGACUGACUUUCGGUUUGUGGAAGGAAUCUGUAUAAAUUGCUUGUGUCUUUCUUCUCUCUCUCUGUUUUAUCCGCUGCAAUUAGUCUGAACAUCUCUUCAGAAGUAGAACUCUAUAUGCUUCAAUGACUCUAUUUUGAAUGUGCUGGCAAUUCAACGUCUCUUUCACACCUCUAUAUAAAGGAGUGAAGACUCAGAGUUUCAUAAGAACAAUACCAAGCAUUAGCUUAGCCAAAACUCUGCUGAAAUUGUUCUCCACUUCAAAGUUCACUUAAAAUUUCUUAUCAAAGCUCAUAUCUUAGAAAUUCUAGAGUCUUUAGAGUCUGUAUCUGAUUUGUAUUGUGAACACCACUGAUUGUAUAUCAAGUGUUCAACUUCAAACAAUUUUCUUUGUAAUUUUGUUUGAAUUCAUAAGUCUCUUGCAUUUGUGCUUGAGCAAUAGAAGUCUCUUGCAGUUGUGUUUGAGCAAUAGAAGUCUCUUGAUUGUGUUCAGGAGCAUAGGAAGUCUCUUGCAGUUGUGCUUGAGCAUUUGAAGUCUCUUACUAAGUUUAGUAGUGAGCAUUUGUAAUCAGAUAUUACAUAGUGAACUCUCCUUGGAAGUGCAGGGGGGACAUAACUGACUUCCGGUUUGUGAAAGGAACCUGUAUAAAUUGCUGGUGUCUUUCUUCUCUCUCUCUCUCUGUUUUAUCCGCUGCAAUUAGUCUGAACAUCUCUUCAGAAGUAGAACUCUAUAUGCUUCUGACCUGUAUUUUCAGUUAGGAGAAAAAGAAGAAAAAGCCAACACAAUUCAACCCCCCGAUCUUGUGUUUUUCUCACCUUCAAAUUACACUUGUCUAGAUAAGACUCCACCCGUGAAAUUCAAUGAUAAGUCGUUUCAAACAACACCUUCUGAUUAACCUAAAUGAAUUGAAGCAACAAAAGUUUGAAUCAACAAAUAGAAGCAUAAUUAACAUAAGGAAAGAAAUGAUGCAUUAAGCCAUUUUCAAUACAAAAUGUUGAUGGAGUAGUAACACCGCGACCAUAUUAUGACAUUAUUACACAAGUUAAUAAGUACUAUGAAAUACGGUAAAUAUAAUGUAACUAUACCCUGGAUUUAUUAAUUGUGCAUUAACAGUAAUGUACACAAGUAAGUUUAAUACCGGUGUUCAAUUCAUUUUACAGCUGUGUUGUGUCAUUUUAUAUAUAUAUCUAAAGACUAUAAUAUUUUAGGAAAAUGCUAACAAGUGUCUUUGGUGCAUUUUUUUUUUUUGACAAAAAUCUUUGGGGUAUUUGUUAAGAAAUCUAAAGAAGAAUUUUUAUUCUAAGAUUGAUGCAUUCAACGCAUAGAAAGUUUUAAAAGUAUUUUUUUUUACUGUAAUUUUUUUUUUACAUAAAUCUUAUAAAUUAUUUCUAUUUUUGAAUCUUUAACAAAUGCUCUUAGAUUAGCAAGACCCAAUAUUUUAAAUGCACAAACAAAACACUUAAGAGUGUGUUUGGAUGGGGGAAUGUUUUGAGGUAAUGUAAUGUUUUGAGGCAAUUCAAUGAAUCAAUAUGGCUAGAUAGUUACCAAGCUAGAGGGGGGUGAAUAGCUUUUUGAAAACUUUUUCCGAAGUUUUAGUGAAAACCGAUUUUAACAAAAUUGACUAUUGGAGUUGUGCUCGAACAAUCACAAACAAUGAAUCAAAAAUACAAAUAUAUGUGGAAUAAGAUUUAAUCUUAGAAUUGAGAGAUUCACGAUACAAAUCUUAGUAUACAAUCCAACUUUAAUCAACCUUGAACAAUAUACAAAACUUAUAAUAAUUUCAAACCAAACCUAAGUGAACAAAAAUACUAUGCUAUCAAAUCAAAAACACAAUACAAGUGUAAUUGAAGAAUUGAAUAGAUUUUGCAAUCAAUUUAUCUAAGCAAAUUAUAUGAAACCUAAUUCAAUGAAUUAGAUUAAUUUUCAAUGAAAAACAACUUAUAUCAACACUAGUAAUUAUUCUAUAAAUUAUUCAAUUAAUCACAUGAAAUAGUAAAAAAUAAAGAGGAUAGGGAAGAGAGAUAACACUGAUUUUUAUAGUAGUUCGCUCUUUCUCGUCCUCGCUAAAACUACGUCUACUCUUCUUGAUAAAGUACUCCUUCACCAAGGUCAUCCACUAAGUAACAAAUGUUGAUUAUAAUAUGUUUACAAGAGUUCCUUGAAAUUAAACCUAAUUCUUCAACCCCUAUGCAAACACUCCCCCAAACUCCAAGUAACCCUUGAAUUUGGUGCUCCUUGAAUCUUUGAUUACUCGUGCACCCCUUCGAACUCUUCACUUAAGUCUUCGAUGCUACGUCCGGUAAACAAACCCCCUUCGACUUCAAGAACAGUUAGAAAGACCCCCAAGUCCUUUGGAGGUGGAAUGAGAUUAUUCACUUCCUUUGAAGCCUUGAUUAAGCCCAAUCAAUCUUCUUGAGAGAACCAACUUACAAUCCCUACUAGCACCCUAGCAAAUCAACGUGACUCAAUGUACAAAGUGAUUCUAAGAAAAAGUGUUUAAUCUUGAAGAAUGUAUGAACAAAGAGUUUUUGAGACCUAGAGAGAAUAGUUGCAAAUGAUUAAAUUUUUUGGGUGUUAUGAGGAAGUGUGUAUAUAUAUAAAAGGAUGGCAAGUGCAAAAUUUCGGCCAAAAUCAACAGAGUGAAUCUAUUAACAUACUGUGUGAAUCGAUUCAGACAUCUAAACGAUGAACAAUGAAGAUUGAUAUGCACCAGACACAAAUUGAAUCGAUUCAAAUUUCUCAAGAUGAAGAUUGAUACGAUUAAAACCGUUAUGAAUCGAUUCAAUCAAAAUCAGAGAGUUUAUGAAUCGAUUCACUAACAUUUGAAUCGAUUCAGGCAAGGAAGAAGUGAAAAAUUGACGUUGUCAACAUUUGAAUCGAUUCACAUGUGAAUCCAUUCAAGAAAACUGUGAAUCGAUUCAUUGUGAAUCUAUUCAGGAAAACUGUCAAUAGAUUCACUGCGAUACUAUUCAAGAAACCUGUGAAUAGAUUCACUACGAUACUAUUAAGGAAAAUUUGACUCGGUUCAAAAGGAGUGACACAAGGAAAAUGGACAAAAGGAAUGCUUGAUAUGAAUAAAUGAAUCAUGAAUCGAAUCAAGCAAUUCACGAAAGGAUUUUCCAUAUAUGACAACACAUAAGACAUCAAGGAAUCACAUGACACAAUGAGACAUGGUUUGCUAGGUGCUUUAUGUAACACCCCGAUUUUUAAUAUUAUUGUAUUAAUAUACUUAUUAGAUAAUAUUAGUGUUGAUUGUUUGACAUUAUUAUUUUUAUUUGAAUUAAAUCUGUUUUAACAUGUUUGGGUGAUGUUGUUUAGUUAAUUGGGAUAGACACAUUGGAUUAAUAAGAGUAGCAUGUAUAAACUAGAGUUUUAAUUAAUGGUAGUAGUUUAAUUAAAAAAACAAAAAGAGUUAGAGAAAAUAAUAUUUAGAAAGAAAAUAGAGUUUUUUUUAGAGAAAAUAAGAAAGGACAAAACUUAGGUAAAGUACCAUACAUGUUGUUGGUGCUGUUCUCCAAUAAAAACUUGACACAUCUAUUAUUUUUUCCACAUCAGCCUUUAAGAAAUUAAUACUGUUACUUUUCCUGUCUAUAUCUUCUUCAAUCUGUUACCGAGAAGCACAAACACGAAACCCGCAACUGCUACUACCCAUAUUUUUCCAUUAACAUAUUAUUUUGAAUGACAAGAAAAGUUUAACAUAAAUACACAUGUAAGGAGUAAAAAAAUAAAUUGAAAGUCAAAUUGAAUUUAAGGAAUCUCCCAAAACUAAAAUCAAAUCUUUUUUUAGCCUUAAAUUAAUAGGUUUAAUUAAACAGGGGUAAUAUAGUAAAAGUAAAUAUAUAAUUUAGGUUAAUAUUAAGGCAACAGUUAUCGUUCAGGUUAACUUUAAUAAAUCAGAGAUAAGAGAUACAGUAAAAGUAAGCAUAAAAUUUAGGUUAAAAUUAAGGCAACAGUUAGAGUCCGGGUUAAUUUUAAUAAAUAAGAGACUAGACCAUUGACCCGUGCUAACGCACGUGUCAUUUAAAAAAGAUAAUAUUCACUGAAAAAAUAAGACACUAGUUCGCGUGAAUCUAAAAAUUGUCGUGAAUCAAAGCAUAAUGUCAAUAUCAAAGACUUUGUUAUUGUUCCGUAAUUCUAGUACGUAGUUCCUGUUACUUUAAAAUAACAUAUAAUUUUGAAAGGGAAAUUGAAGUUCGUUGACAUGCAAAUAGUUUCAAUAAGUAAGAAAAUGAACAGUACACAAAAAAGUCCUACACAUUACGGAAAACUUCUCUGUAGACCAUAUUUGAUGCAACAUCGAUAUCAUCGCCGUCGUCGUCAUUAAUCAAUAUUUUAAAACCACCUCUCGAAGUAACCCGUGAUAUUGUCACGUACGACUGUCCAUGUGAAAAAACAGGAGACGGUAGAUAAACACCAACAUGUUUCAACGACUGACCCUGACUCUUGUUAAUAAUCAUUGCAAAUGAGACGACAGAUAACGGAAAUUGCCUUCAUGUCAAGCAAAACCUCAUAAUUUGCUAACCCGUGCUACCACACGGGUCAAUGAUGAGCACAAUAUAUUAGUAAUUUAGGAGUUCAACAUCACAUAAAAACCGUAAAUUAAAAUAACAGGAAAUAUAUAGCUAUAUUAUGUAGGUAAGGUAUGAUUUACAAUUAAUGUUUUGCAAUGAUCAUGCUUAUAGUUAAUGGUAAGUUAAACAUAUUUUGAAGACAUAAUCAUAUGCUUAGAUAGAUCCUUAUUCAGCCAAUAGAAUAUCACAUGAAGCAUUGGGCCAAUCCUUAUUAAAACAAUGAUAUGAAUCAUGGUUUACAACUUAAUUUGUAGUUUGCAUAGCUCAGGGGAUAUCAAAGACACAGUCACAUCAGUUUAAUCAACCACCACCGUAUAAAUUAUCACCACGAGGGCCUUCUUGCAACAACCACCACCGCAUAAACCUCCUUCUAGAAUAUAACAAACAAAAAAAGAGAUGAUAAUAAAUUAGAUAGCAAUGCAAUUCAAACAGUCAUCGGAUUACAAAUAACCAAAAAUCAAACUAAACAAAUGCUCCUACUCUUAUUCCAACCCCGAAUUUGAAAAUUCCUGAACUGCAAAAUCAACAAACCAAACCCCACACCAAUCAUAUAACAAUUACUUUGAUUUUGUAAGAAGCCUAAAAAGCUAUUGCAAGCUAUUUUGUACAAUAGAGGAAUUGAAUGGAAAGAAAGAUGUGUGGUUAACCUUAGUCACAAAAAAGAGGAGGAGCAGCUAAAAAUCCAUUUGAUUUUUCUUCUCAAUGUUAACACAAUAACAAUGCUUCUAUAUAAACACAAAAAUUAAAUUAGAAUGAAACAAUUAAAUCACUGUGGAGCCCUGUUUGUUACAUACUUAAUGAAUUAAUUAAUUAAAUCAAUUCCAUUGUAAGAUAAGCUAAUAAUUUUCGCAUGGAGAGAGAAAACGCACUUGCAAUUUUGAAGUGAGAUGAAGAAGUCAUGACCAAGUGUAACAACGAAGCCUAUCUGCAACUUUCUGGAUAGAACCAACCCUUCCAGCUUCUUGGUGAUAAAUCCAACGACAUAGUGGGAACCAUCAGAGAAAGUGAGGCAAUUUUAUAAAAAAAAAAAAAAAAAACUUCUAUACAAACACAAAAAAAGGGAAGAAAAAAAUAAUAAUUAGAAUGAAACAAUUACAUAAUGAAAGUUAAAUAAACAAACAUACCUGCAUAUCCCCAAAUCCACAUUUCCAUCAACAAAAUCUGCAAUUUGUAAAAUAAAGCUACAGAUCAAAACAUGGUGGAGAAAGAAAAGACAUUGAAAAUCAUUGCAUAUAUCAUCAUCUUACACAAAUGAUAUUAGCAGAUUCAGAAAUUCUAUGGGAGUUUAGACCAGUCAACCUCCAAGGAUGCGAGUAACAAAAUCUAUUAGCAGAAGCAGCAGGAAAUAAUGAUUUGUUUUGUUAAAAAAAAAUAGGAGUGAUUUGUUUUGUUCAAAAGAAUAGGAGGGAUUUGUUUCGUUCAAAAGAAUUGAGAAUUUCUGCAAUAAAAUAGGAACAAUUUGUUAAUAGGAGUGAUUUGUUUUUCUUUUUUUUUAAGUUUAUCUGUUUAGUAGGAAACAAUUUUUUUUUUAAAAAAAUAGGAGAUUUCUGCAAUUUGAUAUUUUAAACAUGGGUAAUACAGUAAAAGUAAGCACUGAAUUUAAGUCAAAUUAGGGCAACAAUUAGCAUUCGGGUUAACUUUAAUAAAUAAAAGAUAAAAGAUAAUAUAUUAGGGUAAAUGAGUUGAGGAAGUGAGGAAAAAAACGUUAACUUAUGUACUAAUUUUUGAAGUUUCUCCCUCACCACAUUACAAUCAACAUCUAGUUUUUGUCCUCUCUGUUAGUUUCUCUCAAAAAAACGUUAACUUAUGUACUAAUUUGGUCCCCUAUGUUUUGCUUCGUUACUAGUUUUAGUCUUUUCUGUUAACGUGUUUUUGAUAGAAACUAACAGAAAGGACUAAAACUAGUAACAAAGCAAAACAUAGGGGGAUCAAAUUGGUACAAAUUAUAAUUAGGGGACCAAUUGGAAAUUAAAUAGGAUUGUAAAUGAAGGGCUCUUGCUAUGUUUAAACUACAUUGAUGUUUGCGUUCCACCGUCCAUUUUGUUGUGGUGUCCCUACACAACUGAUUUGAUGAAUGAUACCUUUGGUAGCAUAGAAAUCAGCAAGAGUGAACUUCGGUCCAUUAUCACUACGUAAGACCUUGAUUUUGGCAUUAAUUGUGUCUCAACAUAGGCAACAAAAUUCUUAACUUGUGUCAUUGCCUUAUGUUUUCCCUUUAAAAGCACCAACCAUGUAAAUCUACUAAAAUCGUCAACAAUGGUGAGAAAAUACUUGUGUUCGUGGACAGUGGCAGUAGAAAACGGCCCCUAUAAGUCCAUGUGCAAUAAUUCAAUACAACAAGAAGCUCUAUGAUUACUAAAAUUAAAUGGAAACUUCUUUUUAGUAGAAAGAUGACAAAUAUCACAACUCGCUGCAUCUUUAUUCAAAACAAUAUCGGGAUACAAUUUUGCCACGACCUUUAUCCUACUACAUGAUGUAUGACCAAAAUGGAUGUGCGAUAGGGCAGUUUUCGGAAUGGUAACUGAUUUACAAUGAGUACCUGCCAUAUAAACAGGGCGAAGGAACAUGAGAAGUAGUGCUCUCCAAAUAGUAAAUUCCAUUGACCAUUCUACCCGAACCAAUCAUCUUAAGCAUGGAGGAUUGAAUCAAACACAAAUUAUCAGUGAACACAAAACUACAGUCCAAUGCUUGAGUUACUUUUGAGACUAAUAUCAAAUUAUAAUUGAAUUGAGGCAUAUAAAGAACACCAGUGAGAGUGAUCAAAUUUGUAACGUGAAUAUCACCAAUGAUCUUUGUGUGCACUACAACAUGAUUGACAUCUAGUGACACUUGAAAAUUAUUACUAAUUCAAGAAAAAUGUUACUGGUUAAAAUUAGUAACAUUUGUAGAAUUGUUAGGUAAAACCCAUGUUACUAAAGAGCUUUAGUUACCUUUUAUAGUAUUAACUGUAACAUUCAAAAAAUGUCGCAAAACAUUACAUUAUUGUAACACUUUUUGUAUCACCGGUAACACUAAAAAAAUGUUACAUUUAUAAUUUUUGAUAAGUUGUAAAAAGUUUUGCAAAAUUGUCCAGAUUAAAAAAUUGUGAAUCUACCAAAAAAUGUUACUAAUUGAAAUAGAUUAGAAAAAAGUGAAUUAUUUAUAGGAGUUUUUAUACUCAACCCAUUGAAUCUAGAAAUUACGUAAGUGUUUUUACAUGAUCCAAGCAAAUUAAAAUACUACAUUUUGAUCAAAAUUUAGAUCAACGAUUUUGGAUAACAUUACAAUGAAAUAAGAUAUCCUAACUAAACCUAGUAAUAAUCACUUUUUCCAAAAAAUAAAAUAAAAUUAGCCAUGAAGUCUUCUAAGCAAGCUAAUGCAACAAAAAUCUUCUUGGUUUGCAACACCAUAGUUUCUUUGGAAACAGCAAAAGUCUUCUAGCUGCAAGUGAAAUAAAUUUUUAUUAGAUAAUAUUUGAAAGGAAAAGCAACAGAAAAAUAAAGAAAUUGAUUAGUCAAAUCAUCCCAGCGCUUGUUUAACGUCUGAUUCCCGACGGUCAAUAGGUUGUCUCCUAUUCAACACUUCUUUUGAGUCAUUAGCUUGACGAAAAUAGGUUGCCUCCUAUUCAACGCGUGUUUAGCAUCCCGAGCCUGACGGUUAUGUCUAACUUGUGUUGGGGAGCCCCUGUCCUUCAGGCUCCUUGAUUUCUUCCUCCUCCUCGACAUUCAGUUUGGGUUCUUCCUUCGGCACUCCUUCCUUCUUAAGGAGAUGGUAUAAACAUUAAAACUCAUAACUUCAACAUAAACAUGCAAACAUCUAACCAAUUAAGCAAUAUAAGUCAUUUACAUGUGACAUUGUAUCCUUUCUUGUCAAAAAAAUUAAAAUUUAAACAAACCCUAAAACUAAAAAUUAUAAUUUAACAGGAAAAAUCUAACAUACAAACAUAAAAAGGUUAAUGGUGUUUGAUUAUGAAAACUUACUUGUUAUUGGAGUGUUGUUUUAUUUUAACUUGAAGGAAUUUUGAAGUUGGACAAUUUGAGAGAGAUUUUGGAGAUUUUAGAUGGGAAAUGAGGAAACGAGGUUCUGUCCUUUAAAACAGCACAUAGCGUGAGUUAAGUCACACAAAUUUAACACUAACGUGAGUUAACUCACGCAUGGGUAAUUUUGACAUUUCAGUUGGGAAUGAGCAAAAUUCCUAUUUUUUUAUCCCUUGGAAAAAACUUUUUUUUUCGUGUAAACUUAUUUAUUAAUUUUUUUACAAAACUUAUUUAUUUUUAUAUUAGUAGUUAUAAUUUUCAUUAUUUAUUUAUUUAUUUUGGUAUUUCUUUUUUAACAAUAUGAUAUAUUUUUUUAAAUAUUUAAAUGUAUUAGUGUCCUCACCAUCAAAAUAGGAGUUCGGAUAUGCUCCAUUUAGGCUAAGCUCAAUUUACUCCAUUUAGGGUUUGGAUGCAAGACAUGUGGCAAUAAAGUAUCUAAUAGUUGAGAUUUUAAAUUAAAAAACAAAUAUUUGUUUAAUAAAAAUACAUAAUAAUAACAAACAAAUUAUGUUCCCUUCUUCUCUCAUAUUGCAACAAUCUUUUAUUGCUUUUUAAUUUAAAAUCUUAACUGUUAUAUACUUUUUUGUCACAUGUUUUGCAUCCAUCCAAAUCCUAAAUGAAGUAAAUGUAGCUUAACCUAAAUGGAGCAUAUCCGAACUCAUGAAAAUAGAACCCACAUCGCACUAUUUUUUGGGCUGGCUACCCGCUUCGCAAUCUUGCAAUUUUUUUAAAUUAUUAUUUUAGCUACACAUGAUGAUGAAUCCUGGAUCCGCCCCUGACUAUAAAUUUAUUUAUUUCAGUACUUUAAUCAAUGUUUAAGUCCUUGUUAUCAUUCUCUAAUAAAAAUUAUUCUGCACGAACCACUUAUUUUUGCUAUAAAUAAUAUCUCUCUGAGAACAAAAUUUUCAUGCUAACGAAUACUACCUUUCAUAUUCGAUAUCCUUCCUUCCUUCCUCCCAAAUCCAAAUGGCUUCAAGGGAAGAAGAUCACAAGGUUAGUUAUGAUUAUUGUAAGCAACAAAUCCUCUCACUUCCCAAAGAGAAAGGGUUAUCAAUCCAAGAUUUAUAUUUUUUCCAAAAGUUUUUGGUGUCCACCAAUAUUAAUCCAACCUAUAAACUCUUUUCGAAAUAAUUUUCAAACCAAAGAUAGUGAUGUUAUUGUUGCAUCCAUGCCAAAAGCAGGCACCACUUGGGCUAAAAGCUUUAACAUAUGCAAUUGUUAAUCGCCACUCACUAGAGAUGCAUGACCAUCCAUUACUUAAAUCAAAUUCCCAUGAAUUGGUGCCUUACUUUGAAUUUAACAUAUAUGGUGAUAACUUAGAUCAAACUCCUCUAAUUGACCUAUCAAACAUGGCUGAACCAAGACUUUUUGGAACUCAUAUUCCAUUUAAUUCCUUGGCCAAGUCAAUUAAGGAAUCCAAUUGUAAGAUCAUUUAUAUAUGUAGGAAUCCACUUGACACUUUUAUUUCCACUUGGUUUUUUAUCAAUAAAAUUAGAUCAAAUGAAUCUUUACCUAUGUUGAACUUAGAGGAAGCAUUUGAAAUGUAUUGUAAGGGGAGAAAUCUAUCUGGUCCUUUUUGGAACCACAUGUUGGGUUACUACAAGGAGAGCAUAGCUAGACCAGGCAAGGUUUUAUUCUUGAACUAUGAAGAACUUAAACAAGAUGCCAAUUAUCAAGUGAAAAGAAUUGCAGAAUUCUUGGGUUGUCCUUUUACUCAAGAAGAGGAAAGUAAUAGAAUGAUUCAAAAUAUUAUUAAUUUAUGUUGCUUUGAAAAUAUGAAGGAUCAAGAAGUAAAUAAAUUUGGAGUUUUGUCAUCGAGAUAUGAGAAAAAACACCUCUUUCGAAAGGCCGAAAUAGGAGAUUGGAAAAAUUAUCUUUCCCGUUCAAUGGUAGAAAAAAUAUCCAAAAUCACAAAAGAAAUGUUAGGAGGUCUCUCAUUUGAAGUUUGUCGAAGUAUUGAUCAAUGAUUACUUUAUGUAUAAGUUGUUUUGUAUUAAGAAGUUCAUUGUUGUUGUAAGAACCGUGCAUUUGGCUGAAAUGUGUGACACAAUUGUUAAUUGUACAAAGAAGUGAUUUUUAGACAAUUACUUGUACUACAAGCUAUUGUACUUUUGUGUAACUAAUUAACCACUUGACGGUUAAUUGGUUAUGCAUUUAGUUAGUUAAGCUUGUCGGGGAAUAGCUUGCUCUAGUUACACUUGUAUAGGAUCAAAUAAUCUAUAUAUAUUGAUCCUAUCUCACUUGUAAAAUUAGAUUGGUGAAUAAUGAAUUUUCUACUUUUAAACUGUUUCUUCUUCAUAGCUUUGCUCACCCAAUAUUUUUUUUUGGUCAAGAGCUCAUUACAAGAAUUUUUUUGUUUUGAUCAAGAGCUCAUUACAAGAUUUUUUUUUUUUUUUUUUUGGGGUGGUGAAGAUUUCUUCUUUCAUUUAUGGAGUAUAUGAGUUUUUGGUGGUGGCCGGGGUUUGAACCUUGGACCUUGCAUAUUUUAUGCAUUGUCGAAACCAACUGAGUUAAGCUCACGUAGUGCGUUUGGUUUGCAAAACAGUAAGUACUGGACAGAACAGUACAAGACAGAACAGCACAACACAAGGCAGAACAACACAAGAUAAAUUUUUUAUGGUAUUGAAUAAUUUUCUGUUUUAUAUGAUUUUUGGGGGACAAAUGCUAUUUUGGUAUUUUAGAUAACUUGUACGUGGGACAAAAAGUUGUGUUGUGGUUUGGUGAGGGACAAAAAUUUCAGUUUUUGUUCUGUCUAUUGCCUCCAGUUUGUCCUGUCCCUGAAACAGUUUUACAAAUCAAACACUGGACAACUGAAGUUGUUCUGUCCUGUCCUUCAUUUUUUAUCAAAUCAAACGAGUUUAUCCUUUCACAAAAAUUGUUGUUGUUUUUUUUAUUAAAAAAAAUUGUUUUUGUUUCGUUUUCUUGAAAAUAAAAUACAUAGGGUUGUUUACCAGUUUAGUUGACAAUCCCCUCAAAAACAGUUUAGUUAUCAAUAUUGAGAUACCCUAUAAUAUUUUUUUGAUCAAUGAGAUACCCUAUAAUAUAUUAUCCAUGCUUCUUGAGUGUGAUAUAUCCAUAAUAUAUUUAAUUUCUAUUUUUGUCCCUUCUCAUAUUUUUUUAUUUGUUUUUUUUACAAUAAAAGUUUACUGUGAGGGGAUGAUACUACAAUGUAAGGUAGAGAAGACAAUCAUGUUUAAAAAACAUUGACACUUUUCUCCCUCACUGGAAUUCAAACCCAUGAUUUUAAGUCCAAGACUUAUCGUUUUACCACUAAGCCAAAAAAAAUUUAAGGAUGUAUUUUUAGUAAAUAAAAUAAAGAAAGAAAGCAGAGGUGUAAUGCAUAUAAAAAUAAGAAGUGUGUUUAUACCAAAAAAAUAAGAUAUUUUUGUGGAUAUGUCAGCACAUCUUGAAUUCGAAUAUAGGUUUGUUAAUAUUAUUUGGCUUUUUCAACUAUUGAUAUUCAAAUUAAAUAUUAUAUUAUUUCAAAAAAAUGUUAAUUUUUUUUUUUAUGGGUAAAAAAAAUUAAAUAUUAUAUUUUUAAUAUAUAGGAAUGAAAUAUUCUAUUGUAACUAAUAUUGUUGAAUGGGUGGAAAGAGAACUGUUUUUCAAGAGAAGGCAAUGAGAUUCUCAUCAAAUCAGUUGCAAAGUGAUUUUGAGUUAUGUGAUGAGCUUGACACAAGUAUUCCUAUCUAUAAAAUAUUCUUAUCUAUAAAUAAGUUUUUUGAAUUCUCACUUUUUGUUUACACGAUAGUGAUAUUCUUUGUUUCUCUUUUCAUCUCCGGCUUCAUGUAGGUGAGUUGCAGCCUACAUUCCGAACUGAGGACGGGUUUUUGAAGUUAGCUCACCCUCGCGAGAUCACGAUCCUUUGUCACGUCCAUUGUAGAACGUGUGUCGCCCAGGGCAUAAGGGGCAUGAUGACUUGACGUCACCCUCACCUUCCUCCGGUUUAUCAUGUAACGCCCUAAUUGUUAUUUUAUUAUUUUUAGUCUUUUAUAUGAUUUCAAAUGAUUUAUGUUGAUUUUGUGGUGUGGUGUAUUUUAUUAAAUGACUAUUUUUAUUAUUUAAUAGAAUAAGUGAGAAUUAGGAUUUAAUUGGAGUUUUGGGGUUAAAUGAGAAUUAAGUGAAUUAGGUGGGAGUUAAUUAAAUAUUGGAAAGUUAUAUUUAUUGAGAAAAUUAGAAAAUAGAGGUCAAAAGCAGUUUUCACGUACAACUGAGUUUUGGGAGAAAAACCAAGAGGAGAGCCAAGAGGGGAGAAUCUGAUUUUCGUAGAGCUUGUUCAUCAAUUCAAGGUAAGAGUGAGACUAACUCUCAAUAGUUAUAGUCUAUAUAAUUCUGAUUCUGUUUUAGCAAAGGUUCUGAUUAAUUUUAGAAUUUGGGAUUAGGGUUAAAAGUUGUAGAUUGAUGAUUAAUUAAUGAAAACAUGUGGAAUUGGUGCAAAAACUGUGUACAGACCUUAGAAGAUUCAUAGGUUGAUGUUUAGAAUUAGUUUUAAGGUUAGAACAAUGGGAUUGGGUGAAUUUUUGAGAAAAACUGCAAUCUGCCCGUACAGACAUUCAUCGCUCGCCUCCGCGAGUAGCUUGUCUCGCCUCGCGAGUGAGCAAUAUUCAUCGCUCGCCUCGCGAGCAAGAUCGCUCGCCAUGGCGAGUACCAGAGAAAGGAACUUUGAUUUUUAAAAUGUUGUUUUAAGUAGUAUGUUGGAUGGUUUUGAGUGCCUGGAUGUUUAUGGAGAGGACUGAUCAAGUUUUUAGAUCAAAAAGAGGAUUAGGGAGCUUAAAAAUGAAGAUUUAGUGAGAAAAAUGUCAAAACUCCCGAGAGCACCAUUUUUCUGCUCGCCACGGCGAACAACUUAAUCGCCAUAGCGAGUAGCCUAUUUUCUUGAGUUCGCCUAGCGAGCAAAUGCACUCGCCUCACGAGUUACUCAGUAGCUGAAGUCGCAUCUGUGUUUUUGAAUAUUGUGUGGUUGGAUUCUCGUGUAGGACAAAUGAUUAUGAUUAAUUAUGCUAUUUUACCAAAGCUGUUGAGUUGAAUAUGAUUGAUUGUUGUUUGUUGUUUGAUGUAUAUUUAUAUUUAAAUAAAUUAUACAAGAUUUUGAAUACCGUUGUACAAAGGUUGUUGUGUCACAAAUUGACAAUGUUGAGGUGUAAGUCAUGAAUAAAUAUGCGCUGUUGUGUAGUAGGAGUUGCUGUCCAUGUUGUCGUUGUUGUAGGAGAGUUGUAUGUUGAUAUGCACAAAGUCGAGGUCAAUGUAAACUCAAAAACUGUUGAGGGCUUAUGCCCUAGAAUGCUUUGUUAUUCAACUGUUGAGGGCUUAUGCCCUGGAAUGCUUGAGGGUAGGGGUGUAAGUGGGCCGGUUUGGGUUGGGUUUGGCCAAACCCAAAACCCAAACCAUAUAGGGUACUCCGGUUUGGGUGAGGUAAAAUAUCCACCCGUUAAACUAUUGGGCUGGUUUGGGUAAACCCACUAAUUUCCGGGUUGGGUAGUGGGUUACCCGAAUUAAUUUUUGCUUCUUUUUUUUGUAGUAUUAAACCAAAUGACAAGUCAUCAUAAUUUUUUCAUAAAAAUAACUCAAAAAUUUAAAGACAUUGCAUAACAUAAAAUUGCAUUAGAAUAAAAAUACUCAAAAAGCGCAGCAUCUUAAAUUAGCUAAAGUCUUGGCAAAAGAAAACAACAAAUGUUCAAGAGACAAAUUGCAACAACCAAGUCAAAAUAAACCAAAACCAUGUCUCAUCAAAUACAAAAAAGAGCCCAAAACAUAACAAGAAAAGAGUCUUGAUGUCAUCAUUAACAUUCCCCACAAUUCAAAAGAGUCCUGACUUCAUCGUUUAUAUUCUCCAUCUCCACCAAUGGGUUUUUGGGUUUGGAUCCGGUUUUACCCGGAACUCAUUUUAUUUUAUGGGUAUAUCAAUUUUUAAAACCACAUUCACCCAUUUACCCGACCCAACCCGUUUUUUUGGUUUUCUUUAGGUGGGUUUGACCUGGUUUUCCGGGUUGACCCAACCCAUGUACACCCCUACUUGAGGGCUUAUGCCCUGGAAUGCUUUGUCAUUCAAAUUGUUGAGGGUUUAUGCUCUGGAAUGCUUAGUCAUUCAACACGUUGAAAAUUGCACCACAUGCAUACUGUAGUUGUUGGUUGAAUCUUGUUGUUGCAGAUGUUGUUGAGUGAGUUGCUAUUGAGUGAGUUGUUGUCGAAUGAGUUGCUGUAGUUGUUGUUGAGUAAGAUAUUGUAGUUGUUGUUGAGUGAGUUGUUGUAGUUGUUAUUGAAUAUUGUUAUGUCGUUGUUGUUGAUUGGAUUAGUAAGUGUUAUUAAAAUUGAAGAAGUAUGAACAUUAUUGGAUAUAUGUUGCUAAUUAUGUUAUUGAAUUAAGUUGUUAAGUACAGUUGAUAAUCUAUAUAUAUCUAUUACUAUUGUUUGUGAAAUCUCACCCCUUCUGCUUGAAAAUGUUGCCCUUCCUAUGAGUAACUUGCAGGUGAUCCAGAGUAGUAGCUGAUAGUUGUUGUUAUUUGCUGUUGUGAGUGGAUUUACCUCACCUGUGUCUUAGGAGCUCUGAUACGUAACGGGAUGGGAUAAUUUGUCGUCAUAUUCAUCAUUCCUUAUGUAUCAUUAUGAACCUGUUGGUGUUUGAUUAAAUCUUUAAAGAUAUUUUAUGCUUAGGUCAUGUGCCAGAAUUUAUUGGAAGUUGUUUUAAUGUUGAAAAUAUUCCCCUGUGAUGAAUUAUUAUGUUUUACCGAAGACUAUUAAUUAAUAAAUAGUAUUUUAUUCUAUUUAUGGAUUUUUGAAAAGCAGUGUAACAUUCCGUUUGUUGAUUACUCUGAUUAUUUAAAAGAAAUUUUUAUGUUGGGAAAACGGGCUGUUACAUAUCACCGGCAGUCUGUUCAGGGUACUAAACGUUCACAACUAAACACAAGGGUUGCGCUCGUUGCGGGACUUAACCCAACACCUCAUGGCACGAGCUGACGAUAACCAUGCACCACCUGUGUCCGUGUUCCCGAAGGCACUCCUCUCUUUCAAGAGGAUUCACGGCAUGUCAAGCCCUGGUAAGGUUCUUCGCUUUGCAUCGAAUUAAACCACAUGCUCCACCGCUUUUGCGGGGCCCCGUCAAUUCCUUUGAGUUUCAUUCUUGCGAACGUACUCCCCAGGAGGGAUACUUAACGUGUUAGCUACAGUAUUGCAUGGGUCGAUACACACAGCCGCCUAGUAUCCAUCGUUUACGGCUAGGACUACUAGGGUCUCUAAUCCCAUUCGCUCCCCUAGCUUUCGUCUCUCAGUGUUAGUGUCGGCCCAGCAGAGUGCUUUCGCCAUUGGUGUUCCUUCCGAUCUCUACGCAUUUCAUCACUCCACCGGAAAUUCCCUCUGCCCCUACCGUACUCUAGCUUAGUAGUUUUCACAACCUGUCCAGGUUUGAGCCCUGAGAUUUGACGGCGAACUUAAAAAGCCACCUACAGACGCUUUACGCCCAAUCAUUUCGGAUAACGCUUGCAUCCUCUGUCUUACUGCGGCUGCUGGCACAGAGUUAGCCGAUGCUUAUUCCCUGGAUACCGUCAUUGUUUCUUCUCCAGGAAAAGAAGUUCAUGACCCGUAGGCCUUUUACCUCCACGCGACAUUGCUCCAUCAGGCUUUCGCGCAUUGCGGAAAAUUCCUCACUGCUGCCUCCCGUAGGAGUCUGGGCCUUGUCUCAGUCCCAGUGUGGAUGAUCAUCCUCUCGGACCAACUACUGAUCACCACCUUGGUAAGCUAUUACCUCACCAACUAGCUAAUCAGACGCGAGCCCCUCCUUGGGCGGAUUCAUCCUUUCGCUCCUCAGCUUACGGGGUAUUAGCAACCGUUUCCAGCUGUUGUUCCCCUCCCAAGGGCAAGUUCUUACGCGUUACUCACCCGUCCGCCACUGGAAACACUACUUCCCGUUCGAUUUGCAUGUGUAAAGCAUGCCGCCAGCGUUCAUCCUGAGCCAGGAUCAAACUCUCCAUGAGAUUCCUAGUUACAUUACUUAUAGCUUCCUUGUUUGUAGACAAAGCUGAUUCGGAAUUUCAUUUCAAUGAAUAACUUGUAUUCAUGGGCUUUAAAGUAAGCAUUACAAAAUUUUCAAGAUAAUUAAAAAAAAAAACGCCAGAGAAAGAGAAUAGAUUCUCUUCUAUUUCAUAUUAUAUUAUGUUUCCUUUGAUACUAAGUUUAUAAGAAAUGAAGUAAUUUAAAAAAAAAAAAAAAACUUAGCAAAUGUUAUGAAUAUAUAUAUAUUAGUGGAUGUCCAUCUAUAACCCUUUCACAUGCUUGUAACUCCCACUAGUAAUUCCACUAGUAAGCGGGUUGUAAUGUGAUCAUUCAUGUAUCUAUAUGUGUCCUAUAAAUGGGACCUACAUUACAAUGUAAAGACACACUGGUGAAGAGAUAAUACAAAGUGCUUUCAUCUUCUCCUUCCUCAUCUUCUUUGAUCCUGUGCUUUUACUUUAUUUCAUAACACGUUCUCAGCACGAAGCUCUAUCAAUUUGAGGUAAUACUAAUUCUUGUUUUUUAUUAUAUAACUAAUUGUGCUGUAUGCUUGUACGUAUAGAAAAUGUGUAGAAAUUCUAAUAGCAACAUGAUGUAUAUAAGUUAUAUAUAAGUAUGUUUCUGCAAUCCCUUCUCUGACUGUUAUGAUUUGCCUCCAUCAUCAUUAGUUGAUGCGUUGAAAUUCAUUGUUUUUAUUUACUCAUUAGUUGUUGAAUUCUUGAAUGACCAUUUGUUAUCAAAGUUGCGAUCUCUGUAUUAACAGAAAUCAGUGACCACAUUAGCCUUAUUAUUAUCGAAAGAAGUGAACAAUAUAUAGCAGCUGGUAUUAUAACAUUGAAGAUAUUAUAUAAAAUUGAAUCCAACCUAUAUCAUAUAAUACUUAUGGCUCUCAUCAUACAAUUUUCUAUAAUUGUCUUUUAGUUAGGCCUCAUAAUUCAAAUCAUGUGAAUUAGUUCAAAUAAAUUUUCGCAUGAACUUAAGGUAAUAUUGAUUCACAUUACUUCUUUUUACGAUGUUUUGUUGAGAUUGUUCAUUAAAUGAUAUUUGAUUUUAGUGGUUGAUAUUUUUCUUGAUCCAUAUUAGUUCAACGUAAGAAAAUUUUCAUUCUUCAUUUAUAAUAUAUUCAUGCUAAAUUGUUUGAUUGAUCUCCUUCAAACCUCUAUUUGCUAAAUGUAAUUUUUAUGAUUAUGUGAGCAAUAAUAUUAAUCUUUUUGACAAUUGCCGCAGUAAACUAGAAAUACAUACUAUAUAUUUUUUUUCUUUCUAUUUUUUUGUUCGAAAAUCAUAUAUUAGAUUUCUCUCCUUUUUUUCUUUCUAUUUUUUUGUUCGAAAAUCAUAUAUUAGAUUUCUCUCCUAACCAUGUGCACAUUUAAAUAUCAGUUCCUCCAUAAAAGAGAACUUUUUAUUGAUUUGUUUGGAAUUCACUUGUUAAUACUUGUGCACACAUCAACUUCUUCAUAUUUAUUAAUAUCAUCUCUUAUUGCAUCACAAUUUUUAAAUUUUAUUUAACUUGUUUAUAGGUUUCAUACUAUAUUUAUAAAGUACUUUUUUUCUACUUGGGUCUUGUGACUAAAAAUCAAUAGAUUUAUUUUUCUGAAAUUUCAAAAAGAAUUCUUCAAAAUGCCAUAGGUAUGAAGAAAAUAUUUUUUUAUUUUUUUAUUCAUUUUAAAUUCCGAACAUUAAAACAUCCUUGAAGGAUUGUACAAACAAUAAAGAUCUUAUGAUAUAGUUCUUGAAGAACUAUGUUUUUAUGAAGAUUUGAGAUAUGGUUCUAGAAGAACUGAUAAGUUAACAACAAGCAUUUGUGAAAGAUUGCAAAAUAAAAAUAUUGUGAUUUUCCUUUGUCAUUGUCGAUAGAGAUUUGUGGUUGAGUUCUUGAAGAACUAGAUAUUCGUUCAUAAUUUAAAUAUAUAAGAUCUAUUUGAUCUUAGUAUAAGUUGAAUUUGCUCUUGAAGUAACAAAAUCGAGAAAAUAAUAUCAAGAAUUGAUAUAGUAGAGAUUAUCAUUUAUAUGAUACAUGCGAAGAUGGUAAAACUUUAUUAUGACUUUUGAUGAUUAUGAUUUUUGCUACUAAUGAGUUCUGAGAAGGCAUAUAAAUUAGAGAUUAAGAUUUAAGAACAAUAUUGUGUUGAAUUAGAAGAGUUUCUGAAGAGCAACACAUUUAAAGAGAAAGGCUUAAAUAUGCAAUCCGUCUCUGUAAUUUGGGCUGCAAAUUUUUUUUUUUUUUUUUACAAGGACGAAAAUUAAAACACGUCCAAAUUUAAAAUCUUAACUGUUAGAUACUUUUUUGCCACAUGUCUUACAUCCAAACCCUAAAUGGAGUAAAUGAAGCUUAGCCUAAAUGGAGCAUACCCGAACUCAUCAAAAUAGAACCCACAUCGCACUAUUUUUUGGGUUGGCUACCCGCUUCGCAAUCUUGCAAUUUUUUUAAAUUAUUAUUUGGAAAAUUCUAUGGUGAAGUCAUAAGAAUGACUUUUUUGGUGAAGUUAACACUAUAACAUCAAAAACAGUUUUAUAACUGCACCGUAGAAGCUCCCACUUAGCUAUGCUUCUUGAGUGUGAUGUAUCCAUAAUAUAUUUUAUUUCUAUUUUUGUCCCUUCUCGUAUUUUUUAUUUGUUUUUUUUUUCUUUCGAUAAAAGUUUAUUUUUGAUACUACAAUUUAAGGUAGAGAAGAAAAUCAUGUUUAAAAAACAUUUACACUUUUCUCCCUCUAAAUGCACUAUUGAAAUUCAAACCCAUGACUAUUUAAGUCCAAGACUUAUCGUUUUACCAGUAAGCCAAUUUUUUUUUUAAGGAUGCCAAAGAUAUAUUUGUCUUCUUAUUAAUAGGCAGAAGUGUAUUUUUAGUAAAGAAAGAAAGAAAGAAAGAAAGAAAGCACAUCUUGAAUAAGAAGUGUGUUUAUACCAAAAAAUAAUUAAGAAGUAUUUUUUAUAAAAAUAAGAAGUGUGUUUAUACCCAAAAAAUAAGAUAUUUUUGUGGAUAUGUCAGCACAUCUUGAAUUCGAAUAUAGGUUUGUUAAUAUUAUUUGGCUUUUUCAACUAUUGAUAUUCAACUUGUCAAAAAAAACUAUUGAUAUUCAAAUUAAAUAUUAUAUUUAUUUUUUGAAAAAAAGUUAAUUUUUUUUAGGGGUAAAAAAAUUAAAUAUUAUAUUUUUAAUAUAUAGGAAUGACAUAUCCUAUUGUAACUAAUAUUGUUAAUUGCAUAUCGACAAUUAUAUAUGUUCUCAAGUGAUCUCAGCAACCACUUGUUCUAGUAUUAAAUUUGCCAUUUUGAAAUAAUAGAAAAUAUUUUGGUUGAAUUUUCGUUGGUUGGUUAACUGUCACAUCAUUAAUAUGAUAAAAUGGAUUUGAUUGAUAUUAGAUUGAUUAUAACAAAAACUCAAUAAAAAAAUAAAAUAAAACUAGUCUCAUAGAUUAUAAUUCAACUGACAAAAAUGUCUUAUAGGAAUUACUUAAGUCAGAAGUUCAAACAAUGUCCAUGGUUUAAAAGUGGCAUGGUUUAAUGUCCCGAAUUUUCGUUCCCGAGAAUAUCACGAUGGUUAUUCUAUAAAACAUGGGACCCACAUCACAAACAAUACCACCAUGUUUUCCGUGAAAACCCAAAUCUAAUUGGCUGGAACUCUAUUUGGGAAUCACUCGGGACAAUUCCAGUCGCGAUAUAUAGCACUCCCUAUUGGUGAUGACAAUAUCCUCUUUUUUAGGGGUUAAGAUCCUCUUCAUUUAUAAUUUUUUCCAUUUGAUAUCAUUAAUAUGCUUACAGUGGUUUGUAACAUGAGGAGCAAAGAUUAUGGAUUCUUAAAAAAGAUGUUUAGGCCUUCCUAUAGUUUACGGGAAGUCCAAAAAAUUUAUAUUUUCUUUUGUCAAAGAUAGGGUCUAGAAGAAGUUGAAUGGGUGGAAAGAAAGAGAGCUGUUUUUCAAGAGAAGGUAAUGAGAUUUUCAUCAAAUCAGUUGCCAAGUGAUUUUAAGUUAUGUGAUGAGCUUGACACAAGUAUCAUUACAUUCUUAAAAAAUGUUGAAAUUUGGGGCCUAACUCAUCCUUAUAAAACCGGCUUGUAAGGUGAGGAUUGCCUCCUCUUUAUAAAUUCUUCUCAAGAGUCUUGUCUAUCCGAUGUGGGACUUGGGGUUUUUCCCAAUACACCCCCCUCACGCCCAGCACUCUUUGGGCUUGGUGCGUGAAUAGAUUUAGGCGGCCCUUGAAUUCGACAAGCUCUGAUACCAUGUUGAAAUUUGGGGCUUAACUCAUCCUUACAAAACCGGCUUGUAAGGUGAGGAUUGCCUCCUCUUUAUAAACUCUUCUCAAGAGUCUUGUCUAUCCGAUGUGGGACUUGGGUUUUUUCCAAUAAAAAAUAUGGAGGGCUAGCUAUAAAGUUUUAUAUAAUUUUGGUAUCAUUAAUUCUAAAGUUUUAUAUUCCCUUAAAAUAUGGAGCUAUAAAGUUCCAUAUAACCUUCGUAUAAUUAAGUUCACAGUUUUAUAUUCCUAAAAAACACGGGAAUAUAGAGAUUUACAUAACCUUGGUAUAAUUAAGUUUAAAGUUUUAUUUUCCUCACCACCAACACGGGUUCUACAAAGUUUUUUUUUAUAACAUUAAGUCCAAAAUUUUAUAUUUCUCAAAAACAUGCGAGCGGCUAUUAAUUCAAAUAAAACACGGGAACUAUAGAGGUUCAUAUUGCCUUGGUAUAAUUAAGUUUAAAUUUUUACAUUUCUGAAAGAAAAAAAAAAGGGGGACUAUAGAGUUUAUAUAGUCUUUUACAUCAUUAAUUUCAAUGUUUUAUACUCUUAAAAAAAACACGGUAGCUAUUUUUUUUGAACAAGUUAAAAUGAUAUAUAUUAAGAACCACUAGUCACUCAUCUCGCACAAGGCGUACAGAGGGAGUCACCAAAAAAAGUUACAAUAUCAAGGUUACUCGUGCAUCAACAACUCACACCCUAAAAAAGAACGAAUCAAAAUCUUAAAGAUUACAUCAUAACAUCCAUACAAUACAAAGGGUGCAUCCACCAAUAGUUAUAGCUGAAACGAAGGUGGGUUUAUUAGCCUUAAGCCACUGAAAAGAUAGCAGUUUAACAUAGUCUGCUAAUAUGUGAGUGUCUGCAGCCUGCUGAUGAAAAACUCGGUUAUUCCUUUCCUUCUAAAUAACCUAGACAUAAGCCAACCAGAUUAUCCGAAGGAAAGAAUGAGAACAAGGUGGUAACCCAGCCAAGUGUCCAAACUGAAGUAAGUGAUUAUGAUUCCCACAGGGAGGGACAAAAUAUAAGUGAAGCCACUACAGAACCAAGAACCACACGCGACCAAAGGAAGUGGUAUGUUGUCUCCAUAGCGCCGCACCCGGUCACACACACAUUAUCAUCGAUUUGUAAAAUUUGUCGUCGAACUAAGUUGUCUUUGGUUAGAAGCCGAUUGCGAAGAAGUCUCCAAGUAAAUAAAGAUACCUUUAACGGAGCUUUCCUAUGCCAGACGUCAUCAAACAGGCCCCGUUCCGUAGAAGUAUCGGCUGUAGUGAGGAAAUGGUACGUUCCUGAUGUAGUAUUUUUGCAUCACACAAUAGUAAGUAUUUAUAUCGUCUCCUCAGGGACUAGUGCGAUAUCACGGACCACUCGACACCAAAUAUCAUUCUAAGUUAAAAGAUAAUUUGUUGUUUGUUUUAGUUACUAAGUUGCAAGAGUAAAAGUUGAGAGUAAUAGGGUGUGAAACUUGUUAGGAUUAGAGUUCCUUAAUCAAGCGUCACACGGAACCUAAUGACUAUACAUGGAUUCUAUCUUUUCUUUGAUAUUAUCACGUAUCCCUCGACAACACCAUUCGUGUCCAAACAAUAUUGUGAAGUCAAUUGUAUCAUUCAAUCGUCGAUGUCUCAAACUAUUGAAUGAUUCAAGAGUCGGUCUUAUCAUUUAAUUGAUGAUUUCUUAAUCUAUUGAAUGAUAAGAAAGCUUUAAGUUUGGAUACAAAAAGUGAUUAUCAAAACAUCAAUUCCAUGUUUAGAACUUAUGUUUUGAUAGAUGAUUAUUCUAAACCUAGAUUCAAAAGUAUUUCUCAAUCACAAUUAAAUCAAACAUAAGCAUUAAAGUGCAAGAAUAACAUCAAUAUUAAAUCAAAUGCUAGAACCAUAUAUUUCUAUAUCAAAAGAUUACAUGUUAAACUAAGAUCAAGUACCUCUAAUCCCAACAAAGGAGAUUUAGCUACUCAUUGUCAUGGAAGCCUUGCAAGAAUGAAUUGAAAGAGAAGGAUUCAUUACAAACUUGUGAUCUCUCAACAAAAUGAGGAAGAAUCCACUUUCUAUCACUCUCACUCUAUGAAGAACAAGCCCUAUCUCUCUCUCUAAAAGUAUUACAAGUUAAAAACUAUGAGAAAAACCAAGAUAAAAACUGCUCCUCCAAUUGAAAUGAUCAAUGGCUAUUUAUAUAAAUUCUGAUCUGCUUCAACUCGCCUCGCGAGCUCCUUCAUUCGCCAUGGCGAGUUUAAAUUCCUUCACCAGUGGGUUUGUGCCACGUCAUCUGUGAGGAGUCUAGACCGCCCUAACUCGCCUCGCAAGUACAUGCACUCGCCAUGGCAAGUUACUUGUUCGCCACUGCGAGUUGGAGGCGAGCAAAGUGGUCUCUCUGCCUAUUUUGUACUUUUCUUUGUUUUUCAUCUUUUCAGUGGGUUUGUGCCACGUCAUCUGUGAGGAGUCUAGACCGCCCUAACUCGCCUCGCAAGUACAUGCACUCGCCAUGGCAAGUUACUUGUUCGCCACUGCGAGUUGGAGGCGAGCAAAGUGGUCUCUCUGCCUAUUUUGUACUUUUCUUUGUUUUUCAUCUUUUCUUGGUGUCUUGAGUUAGAAUCCAGCACAAAUGGGUAAAGUAAGAUAUAUAAAGCGUAAAAGGGCAAUAAUCACUUAUCUCUCGGUUUUUCCCUCAAUAACUUGCAAAACAAGUAACAAAAGUGCUUUGAAUAUUCAUUUAAAAUACAACUUUCUAGCACUUAUCAGUUCCCAAGCUAAAAGGCGCCUCCUCCACACCCAUGCGCCUCCCCCUUCAUCUCACCCUCUCCUCUCCAUCUCCUCCACCGUCGCCCACCUAUCAAUAGCCAAAUAAAAAAGGCGAGGGAAUUUAACCCGUAAGGGAGUUCCACCCACCCAAUUGUCCGACCAAAAGUAAGUACCCCUUCCGUCACCGACCACCCUUCGAUCAUUGGCUUCAAACCAAUGCCCUUCCCCAACCCGCCACCACCAAGAAUGCCACUCAUCAUCCGCCACCAUAGAGAGCAGUAUUUCUACCCCCUCCCUCAACCGACCCCCUCCUCCCCGUACCUAGCCUUUAAAACUUUAUACCAUAAACCCUCCUUAUCUACUAACAUUCUCCAACACCACUUCCCUAACAGAGAAAUAUUAAACUCCCUUAGCUUCCGAACACCCAACCGCCCAUCCUCCUUUGGUAGAAACACCGAGUCCCAAUCUACCCAAGAUAUUUUUCUAUAGUCCUCACAACCCCCCCCAAAAAAAAAAAAAAAACUUUUAAAUAAAGAUUGAAUGGAAGAAAUUAUACAUGUGGCAGCCUUGAAGAAGGAAAGAAAGUAAACCGCAAGAGAGGGCAGGACAGAUUUUAGAAGAAUCAGGUGACAUCCUAAUUAAUGAAAGAAAUUUACUUUUCCAAGUUGACAGUCUGUUAACAAUUCGAUCAACCACUGGUUUCCAAAACUUCAGAUGCCUAGCAUCCCUAAAUACAGAAAAGGUAAAGAUCCCACACGACAAUGCAUCACCAUGGCAACCUCAGUCAACCAAGAAUCGGAAACAUUUACCCCCGUUAGCAUACUUUUGUGAUAAUUCACUUUCAAACCUGAAACCUGCUAAACAAGAGUCAACACCUCCCUCAUCGAUCGUAUGUUAGCCCAACUUUUUUCACCAAGCAACAAUGUAUCAUCUGCAUACUGAAGAUGCGAGAUGGAGACACCAUCAACCCCACCAACAUGGUAACCACGGUACAUCCAUGUUGCCACUACUGAGGACAUAAGCACGUUAAAACCUUCUGCUACUAACAAAAAGAGAAAGGGCGAAAGAGAGUCGCCUUGUCGAAGCCCUAUUUCCAUAGGAAAUUCCUCCGUCGGACACCCAUUCACGAAAACUGAAGUCGUAGCUGAUCCGACACACUCAGAUAUCCACUUCAACCAAAGAGUGGGAAAAUUCAUUUGAGACAUAACCGAAUCCAGAUAACAAAAGUCCACCGAAUCAUAAGCCUUUUCAAAAUCAACUUUGAAUAACAACAUUUAUUUCUUUAACCGACGCGCUUCAUCGACUGUCUCGUUCGCAAUGAGAAUACCAUCCAAAAUAUGUUUCCCUCUGACAAAGGCUGACUGGUAAUCAGAGACAACACUAGCAAUGACUGCACGUAAUCUAUUGGCAAGGACCUUAACCAAAACCUUAUACAUACACCCCACUAAAGAUAUAGGACGAAAGUCAUUCAGGCGAUGAGGACUGGUUACCUUUGGAAAAAGAGAAAUGAACGUUUAAUUAACACCCUUUGUCAGCUUUCCAUUUCGAUGAAAUUCAGUCAAUAAUCUCAAAAAAUCAUCUUUCAUUUCCACCAAAAACUGUUUAAUGAAACCAAAGCUAAUACCAUCCGACCAUGGGCUCUUGUAACUAUCACAUUCCCAAACCGUAUUUUUAACCUCGUCCAAAGAAAAAGGCCAAUUAAGAGCCCCGAAUUGCACAGUAGACAACUUGCAAAAUACUAAGCCCUCCACACCCGACCUCUUAACGUCUAACACUUUGAAAUGAGAUGAAAAAUGAUUAAAGACAGUCUCUAUGAUGUUUUGUACUCCCUCAAUUUGUACAUAAUUGUUAUACCCUGAUUUUGGACCUAAAAAUACUCAUUCAAAUUUAUUUUCUACUACUGAUAAUUGUCAAUUUACUGUUGUUUUACUCUGAACCUUUACUUUGUUUCAUCUGCACCUUUUACUGUCUCUGUCUCAAAGUAUUUUCAAUUGUGAUUUUGUCUGUGAUUUUCUUGCAUAAAACCAUCCAAAGUGUCUUUUCUUGUGUUACAAGUCAUUAAAAAAAGGUCUCUCUGAAUCAUUGCUUUGUUUUCUUGCAUUUUAAUUCAAAUAUUUGCAAAAAAUCGUACAAGAAAGGUAUUUUGGUCAUUUCCUGCAGUGGAACCCAUUUUAGUCCCUGUGUUUGUCUCUAACACUUUUCAACUUGUUUUACAAAUUAUUGUUGAGUCUUUGUUAAAAAAAUCAUCUCAAAAAUUGCAUCUAAGUCAGUUUGAGUCAGUUUAGUCCCUAGGGGCAUUUUGGUCUUUUCCCAUUAAAAUACCUCAUUUUUGUAAUUGGGUCAUUUUAGUCCUUUUGUUGAUUUUAUUUUAGAUUUCACUUUACGUUUUGUCCAAUUUACCAAUUUCUAGUCCAAUUUUAUUUUUAUUGCAUUUUGGUCCCAAUUUCUUUAAAAAUUGCAUUUUUAGGUUUUUUUUAAUUACAGAUUAGUCCUUCAAGUUUCUUAUUUUGCAGAAAGGUCCCAAGUCACAAAUUGUACAAGGCCGAGCCAUUUCAAGUCCAAGUACAGGUGUCACCAUUUCACUGGUCCAAAGGCACACUUGGCAGCUUAUAAAUAGUGCACAGUGUCAGAAAAAGCAAUAGAAUUCACGCCACAUCACAAACAGAACUCCAAUUUCUCUCUCCAUUCAGUUAGAUCAAAAUUCAGAAACCAUCAAGAACAAGCAAGAACCCUAAUUCUCCAGAACCAGAUUCAUGAACAAAUUCAUCAAAUUUUCAUCGAUUCUCAGUGAUCCAUGGUGAAUCUUCAUCAUUGAAUCGUUUUCCUCUACAAUUCAAGUGCGAAUUCAUCACCAAGUGGUGACAAACUCAAGCACGAUCACAGAGUUUUUGAAGAAGAAGAAGAAAGAAAGAAGAUGAAGAAUAUGAUCCGGUGAAGAAGAAGAAGAAAUCAAAUCAGUGAAAGAAUCACCGAUUUAUUUUCGGUUCCGAGCACCAAAUCAUCAAACAGAACGAGAAUCAAGUGUUUCCGAAGAAUCUUGUUCGAAAUCUCCGAUUAAAUCACAGGUAAACAUAUAACUCCACCGUUCUUUCUUAAAAAGCAUCAAUAAGGACGAAUCCAUGUAGAUCCUCAAGGUUUCAAACAGUUUCUUUCAAAGAAUUUGAAAACCUAAAAAAAAUAAUUUUCAAAACCGUAACAAAGAAUGUAGAUCUACAAAGAUUCAAGCCUUGCAUGUGAUUUCUGGCGUUAGAUUCAUGUUUAGGGUGAAGAAACGAGUCGAUUGAUGUAGGAUUCAUGAUUUUCUGGUGAGGUUAGGGCUCGCCGGAAUCUGGAAUUCACGGCGGAGUCGAUGAAGAUUCUGAUGAAUCUUCAUCUUCUCCGGCCGUCUCCUUCCAGAAACCGGCGAAGAGACGAGAGGCCAGUGAGAGAGCGAGGGAGUUAGAGAGAGAAAGGAGUAUUGCAAAUGAAAUAAACCGGUGUCUUUACAUAUAUACAGGCCAGUGAACCGGACCGGUCCAAAACCGGGCCAUUUCCCUUCAAUCCUGGCCGUUUGAUCUAGGGUUGGAUUCCCUGGAUCAAUCCUGUGGUUCCUGUGCACCCAGGCUUUUAGGCGUUGGGCUUGGGCCUCUGUCUUUGAUUUUCUUUGUUUUCUUGCUAUUUUCUUGCUAUUCACACCUUGUUUGCUUGCUGUUUGAACCUCUGCUUGUUCAAUUUUUCUCAUAAAAUUCCUAAAAGAUCCCUAUGUGUUCUUUAAUGCAUUUUUGAUAUCUUUGUGUUGUUUUUACAUGUCAAAAAUUGAUAAAAAUAUAUGUGUAUUUUCUUGAUUGUUUUUCUUCUUUUCUAGUGGAAUUUUGUGCAAUUUCUUGCCACUUUUUGUUCAUAAUAUCUUGAUCCAUGGUAUGAUUGAUUAAUAUGCAAUCUUGUGAUGAAUAUGCUACUGAUCAUAUGCUUGUGUUACUGUUUUUAAUAUGUUUUGUUAGUUUCUUGUGUUUCAAGUAAUGUGUUUCCUUUUAUAUUUUGGUUAUUGUCGUCAUUUUGCCGUUUUAUCUCAUAUUCAAUUGCUUACUUUUUUCUUACCAUUUUAUGCCUUAUACUGCUAACCAUUUUAUUUCAUUUUUCAUCCAUUUCUUGAGCAUUUUACCAUUUCAUCCCCAUCUCUCAUAGUUUAGCCACUUUACCUUUUCAAUUUCUAUGUCAAAUGGACAUGUACUUUUAGGUAGUUUAAUUUCCUUUUAAUUCCUUACAAGACCAUAGCAUGUAAACUAGGGCAAUGUAAAGGACAAUGGACUCUCUAUAGUGAUGUACACCGACACAAGCACCGACACGCACACACGUUGUAUGUUUACCGUUUUAGAUGUAUGUUUAGGAGACGCGAUACUUAGAAAAUAUUCAUUUUUCAAAGCAAAUUAAUUCCAUCACUCAAAUCUUUCCUAAUAAACCUUGGAGUCAAAACUCCAUUGUAUUUUCCUUUAUUUUCUUAAUCAAAUUCAAAUGAAUCUUAAUUUCUACUUAGACACUUUUUUCGUUAAUAAUUGAACCAACAAUUCACUAUCUUUUCCUCUCAUGCCUUUACGGCCUCUUUCUCUUCUUCAAAACCAUUUUCAAAAACUAAAAUCAAUUGAAACACGCAAAAAAUACUUUUGGAAGAGAACUACAUGGAAUUUUGAUCCCUUAAAAGGGUAUGUAGGCAAGAGGUCAAAACCUCUCAAAGUCCAAUAAAAUGAAAUCUCAUACACUUUCUUUCGAAAUCCUUAACCUAAAUAAACUCUCUUUUUCAAUAAAUAAGCAUAAAAGUAAAGCGUAGACAUAAAGCUAGGAAAGCGGUUCCUAUAGAAUACUAUAGUCGUUACGGGUGCUUAACACCUUCCCGUAACGAAAACGACCUCCGAACUUAGAGUUUCUAAGGGUUUUCUCAAUUUUACCCUUCCCAAGAAAAAAUAGAGAAUAUCAAAGAUUGAAAGGUUCAAGCCUAAUUAAUGACUUGAUACCCCAAAAUCGUGAUAACAAUAAUUAACCUGAAUAAACUGAAGAGCAUUUCUCCGUCGUCUAUAUGACAUAGCUCCAUGAAUUUUUUUAGUAUUCGCAUCUCCCUCCUGUAACCAGUUUAAUCUCGCCUUCUACCAACACAUACUAGUUUGAAUCCGCGACAUCGAAUGCAUACUCUGAUAAGUCAUUCAGUUCCGCCAUUUCUUCCUCCUCAAGGUCGGAUGUCUCCCCCUUAAUGUCUAGGGUCGACAUCCGAUCCUUUACCGCUUGAAUUUUCCCUUACAUGUUUUUAGUAUGUCGUUGGUGCCAAUCUUUCAAGCUACUUUUAAUCAACCAAAGCUUUUGCUUCAGGAUAAUGCCUCCCCACCCAUUAACAUCAAAGGAGGAUCACUUUUCGCGAACAAAUAGAGCGUAACCGGGAAAAUUUGCCCAACAUUUCAACAUUCGAAGGGGUCGUGGUCCCCAAUUCUCCUCAUCCACACGUAGCACCAUAUGAACGUGAUCCGAAAGGCCACUCUGAAGAGCUAUCUGAAUACAAUUUGGCCACGUCGAGUAACAAUUAUCUGACAACAAAAAUCUAUCUAGUUUACUCAUGGAAUAACCAUCACCUCGGUACCAAGUAAAUAAUCUACCACAAAUCGGAAAAUCCACCAAAAAACUAUCGUCAAUAAAUUUAUUAAAAAUAUCAGCAUCAUGUUGACGGAAGGAUGAACCACGACUUUUCCGUUCCUCCAUCGAUGGAAUAGAGUUAAAAUCACCACAAAGACACAAAUUAUUACUGUCGUUACUAAGAGCAAAAUGAGUCAGCCCAUUCCAAAGAACCUAUUUCGCCGCCGUGUCGCAGGGUGCAUACAAAUUAGGAAUGACAAAUUCCUGGCUAGUACCUAUCACCCGUCCUCUAAUCACCAAAACAUGACUGAAACUAGAAGUAGACCAAACAUCAACGACAAUGUUGUCCCACACAGUUAUCAACCCACCAGAAGCACCAACAGAAGGUUGAUAAGAAUAACCAAACGAAGAACUACCCCAUAAACCUCAGACACCAACCUCCUCACCUCACUUUUUUACUCAAAGCCGCCUAAACCCCGCACAUUAUAGGAAAUCAUCUUCAUUGAGACAACCCUCCACCCAAUAACACACCGUCCACACACACCUAGCACUCCUCCGUACCAUUCCCAAUAUCCUCUGCCUCCAAAAAAAAAUACACGGUAGCUAUAGAGUUUCAUAUAGUCUUGGUAUAGUUAAAUUCAAAGUUUUAUAUUUUUAAAAAACACGGUGGCUAUAGAACUUUGAGAAUUGCUCUUCUCCUAUCUGUUUUUGCUCAUUUAUAUCCAACAUGAGUUAAUUCACGUUGAAAAUACACCUGCGUAAGUUAACUUACGAUUAUCUAUUUUGAUGGUAGCGAGCAAAACCAGAUGGAAGAAAAGCAAUAACCUAGAACUUAUGAACAUCAUUAAGUAUGAAGUUUUGUAAUGGUUAAAAUUAAACUUUGAUAAUUCAUGUUUACAAAUAUUAGUUUACAGUUCAUUGUUAUGCGUUAAUUUAUAAAAAAAAAAAAAAAACUUUGAUUAUUUUACUAUAACUCUUAGAAGUUCAAAAGUCAUAUAUUUAAGUGAAGAGUAUCUGUAAUUAGUUUUAAUAAAAAAAUUACAAAAAAAUACUUUGAUUAUUUUACUACUCCCUCCGUCCCAAAUUCUAUGACGUUUUAGACUCUUAAAAGUUUAAAAGUCAUAUAUUGGAGUGAAUAGUAUUUGUAAUUAGUUUUAAUAAAAAAAUGACAUUAUGUGUCAUUAGUAUGUUGUUUGUAAAGACAGUUUAUUUUUACUCCAUCCAUCCCAUAAUAAGUGAGUCAUUUGCAAAAAAAUAUUGUCCAAAAAAAAUUGAUCCAUUUCACUUUCAAUACAAUAAUAAUUGCUUUUUACCGAUUACAACUAUAAUUAAUAAUAAUUUCAUCACUACCAAUUCAAUAUAUUCUACUUUGCAUGUAUGAUAAGAAGGAAUGCACCAAUGUCCUCGUUAGCUUAAUUCAGUUGGUAUGGACAAUGUAUAAUAUAUGCAAGAUCCGGGGUUCAAACCCUGGCCACCACCAAAAAAAGAAGGAAUGCACCAAUACUAAAACACUCAAAAUCAUUUUUCUCUCUUUAACUUAUACAAUUUUCUUAAUAUAUGUGAAAUGAACAAUAUGCUCACUUAAAAUGGGACGGAGGGAGUAUAAGUAUACUAAUAAUGUAAAAAAAUAAUAUAUUUUUUCAUUUAAUUUUUUUUAGGUGAGUUGGACUCUGAGGGUUCAUCAUGGUCAGGGAAUGCAUCAAAGUUUAAAAAGCGUUUACACACCAUUAACAAUGAACCACCGGUCAAAGUUUAAUUUUAGUUUACCCUUUUGAAAAAAAAAAACGGGAAUUAAGAAAAUUGAAAUCGACAACAAAUUUGUUUGUAAUUGUUAUUGUUUUUACAAUUUUAACCUUUAAGAGAGAUGAUUAGUGUAUGUUUUGAACAUAAUCUUUAAUGUUGAUUGAAGAAAAAUAUAUAAAAUAAGGGGUCAUGUUAAUCAGUGCCCCUCACUAGUUAAACAACUAAAAAUGAAAAGAAAAAACAAAGUAAGCAUAAAGAGCAACAUUUUUUCAAGUUUCAAAAUGUAAAAUACACAAUUUUCGAGAAAACAUUUUCUCUUAUAAUUUUUUAACUAGUGCCCCAGACACUAGUUAAGAUUUUCCUAAAAUAAAUAGGGUGUGUUUGUAAAGAAAUGUAUUUGAAAAUAACAAAUGUGUCUUCUAAAGAGAAACAAUUUUUUUUUCUUAUAUUUAAAGACGGAUGUAGUAUUUUUUAUUUAAUACACAAAUGUAUAUGUUUUUUUUUUUUUUUUUUUUGUGGUGACCGAGAUUUGAACCUCAAACCUUGUAUAUUUUAUGCAUUAUCCAUAGCAACUGAGCUAAGCUCCCACCAUUGUAUAUGUUUAACACGAGGAUCAUAUUCAUACUCUUUACAAAAAAAACACAAGUAUCAUACUAGUUUUAUUUCAUAAAAGUCUUUUUUUUUUUUUUUUUUUUUUUUUUAAAUUCUUGACUUUUUAUAAAAGCGGGAUCCAAAUUCAAAUGUGAGAAAACGUUAACGUCCGUUCAGUUUCUCUGUUUCGCGAUUGCUUCUAUAACACAUUUCAAAUCCUCAAAUAAAUAUACAGUUUUCAGCAUACCUUCAUCUUCAAAUUAGUGUCGAACCUUUGCGCCGGAAAAUGGAUCGGGAAUGGUCCAUCAACGACUUUGAGAUCGGAAAACCACUUGGGAAAGGCAAAUUCGGGAGAGUAUACGUUGCCAGAGAAGUCAAGGUACCCAAUUUCCCCCUUUUCACUAUUUACCUUUUGCUGUUAACACGUCUUCAAUCUCAAGUGUCGGUGCUGUAUAGCUACAAAUUGGCCAUGAAGAGAAGAUAUCUUGAAUUCAUCUCACAAGCUGUAACUUUUUAAACUAAUUUGUAUUAUUUGGUGUAUAUAUAGGUAAUAAAUUUUCAACGACUAGGGGUAAUUGCAUUUUUUGGAUUGGGAUUGUAAACUUUAGGGAAUGUUUGGUAAUAAGCUAGCCACUUAUAAGAGCUUAUCAUAGUAGAGUUAUUUUUAUACUUGCAAAGAGAAUGAAGCUAAUUUAAGUGUAUGUUGUGAUGUGAAUAAGUUGAUUUCAUAUAUAAGCUAUAAGCUAUAUUUUUUGGGGGUUUUGAGUAGUACACCUGGUUUGAGCUAGGAGUUGGAGGUGUUAAAGGAGAUAGGUUCAAACCCCGACGAAAGAGUAGAUAUUAACAUAACAACUGACCACUAACACCUACUUACUUAUCCAAACAAGUAAUCAUAAGCACUAUAUUUUAAAAGUUUUUUAAAUGACUUAUAUCGGUGUUUAUGUUAUGAAAUAAAUCAAAAUCAGAUCUUGUGAAUUUGUAAGUGGAUUUUCAAGUACAGGAAAAAUUCAAAUGUUCAGUCGGAUCCAAUAGAGUUUUUCGCUAAUUUUGAACUUUUUCUUUCAGAGUAAAUUUGUGGUUGCAUUGAAGGUUAUCUUUAAGGAACAACUUGAAAAGUACAAAUUUCACCAUCAACUGAGGAGGGAAAUGGAGAUACAGAUAAGUCUUAAACAUCCAAACGUCUUGCAUCUCUAUGGUUGGUUUCAUGAUUCCGAGCGUGUUUUCUUGAUUCUUGAAUAUGCUCAUAAUGGUGAACUAUACAAGGAGCUUAGCAAAAGAGGUCAUUUUUCAGAGAAGCAAGCUGCAACGGUAAUCCUUUAUUAGUUUGAUGAGUUUAUGGCUUUUUGAAGAAUUACCAUAAUGAGGCUGGUUUUUUAACUUGGUUUUAACUAGAGUCAUGACUCAUGACAUGAGAAUAUGGAGUGUGUUUUUCCAGCUUAAACUUUUCCCUGCUAUUGUAUGCCCUCCUGCUUUUUAUGUCAUUCUUACAAACUAUUAUCAUUGCUUUGACAUGAAUCAUGGACACUCCUCGGAUUAGACGUGUUCCAGCAUCGGACACGUGUCGUAUCCGACAUCGACACUUGUAAUUACACUGAAUUAUACUUAUUAGCAGUGUCGGCAUGUCAGUGUCCGUAUCCGUGUCCGUGUCCAGUUGUGUCUGAAUCUUCUGACCUGACACAAUGUCACUCUGUGAAUUAUGAUCACACACAUUUUUUUUUAUAAUUGUGAUCAUCAUAUAUUGACUACUGUUAUGUUUUUUGUUUUGUUUUGUUUUGAAAAGCUACUACUGUUAUGUUUACGCAUUAAUGAGCGGUUAGUAAUGUAAAUGUCUCUAUAAACAUCACAGAUAGUCAACGUAUCUUGCCUUGUCCCCUAUAUUGAUUUUUGUAAAUUUCUCGUAUUACCCUAUCCGUGUCGUAAAGUAUCUGUAUCAUACUAUCUAUCCGGACUUCUUAGGAACUAUGAUAUGUAUGUGAUCAUUUUAGCAGUUAAGCACUUAAGCUAAUUGUAACGACAUGCUAUGAAACAUGGAUUACAGAGAAAGUUAGUGAAAAUUGGAUUUGAAACUAACAAGUUUUUUACAAAGAAUGUUUAAGUAGGGAUUAUGUUAUAAUCUACCAUUCUAUGCUUAUAAUUUUAUUCCUUCCUUUUGUAGCAAUUCUUUGUAUUAUAUUGAAUCUUACUUUGUUUAUCUCAACUUUGAAAAUUUUAGUACAUUUUAAGCCUCACGGAAGCAUUGACAUAUUGUCACGAGAACCAUGUUAUUCACAGAGAUAUCAAGCCUGAAAAUUUGUUGCUUGAUCAUGAGGUAUCUUUCUUUUAUUUUACCUAUAUUUGUUGCCCUAAAGAAUUCAGUUACCUUCAUGAGCAUAAAACAUUUUGCAUUUCAUUUCAACUCUUUUUGAUAAUCUUUAUUGUAGAUAUAGUUAUAGUCAGUUGAUUAUUAUUUGAGUAAAUUUUGAUAAUCUUUACUGUAAAUAUGGAUUACAGAGAAAGUUAGUGAAAAUGAGAUUUAAAACUAGUUUGAUUGAUAAAUAAUAGCUUGAUUGCAGGGUCGUCUAAAGAUUGCGGAUUUUGGUUGGUCUGUACAAUCUAAAGACAAAAGAAAAACCAUGUGUGGUACAUUGGAUUAUUUAGCUCCUGAAAUGGUAGAAAACAAAACUCAUGAUUAUGCUGUUGAUAACUGGACUCUUGGUAUCCUUUGCUAUGAGUUCCUUUAUGGUGUUCCUCCAUUUGAGGCCGAGAGUCAAGCUGAUACAUUCGAAAGGUAUCCAAGGGCAUGGAACUUGCAUAUAUAUAGUAAACUAAAUCACUUUCGAUGUAUAGACAUGUAAUAAUGCAUUUAAAUUUGUGCAGGAUAAAAAAGGUUGAUUUAAGCUUCCCUCCUAGUCCUCUUGUUUCUUCAGAUGCCAAAAAUCUGAUUAGUCGGGUAUGAUUAUAUUAUUAUAGAGUUAAAUGUUUCUAGUACCUAAUCCAUGAUUAGGAUGUUGUUCUUACUGCUAUCUGUAAAUUCAUACAGCUCCUAGUAAAAGAUUCCUCAAGAAGACUCUCACUUCAGAAGAUAAUGGAGCAUCCUUGGAUAAUCAAGAAUGCAAAUCGUAUGGGUGUAUGCUAGUAGAAUCAACUUUAGUCGCUCAUAUGUAUAAUUAUCUUCUCGAGGGAUCAAGCUGGAUUCUACAUCUGCCAUUGCAAUAUGAUAGUACAUUCAUGUGUUUUUAAGAAUUCAAAUCAUGAGCUAGAGACUUGUUGAGCAAAUGAGAAUUUGAUUAUAAUUAGAAAGAAUUGUUGUAUAGAAAGUGUGCCCAAACAUUUUUUUUUCAUCUAAGUUAAGUAUCAAUUAAAUUUAACUCAUAAGGGCAUUGUAACAUUUCAUAUUGGCAACUUAACCAAGCUGUACCAAUUUAACUCAUAAGGGCAUUGUAACAUUUCAUGCAUAUCAAAUUUAAUUAGACUGGACACAUGACUAAAUUGUAAAAGACAAGAACAUAUAACAUCCAACCGAAUCAAACCAAUUAAGAUACAUAUCAAAUUAAACAAAAAAUGGAUCAAAUAAAGCCUAAUAGAAACUGAAUCGGGUAGAUAUACCCUCCCACCUGCCCCGUAUCAUGAGCACAAUCAUCUCUAAGGUAAUGAUAUAAUACAGUCGAACUCCAUGUCCAGUCGCCGCAACGGUCCAAAUCAUAAAGAAGGUACAUCCUUGCAACAAACUCAUACUGGCCCUCUGCAACAACUAUCUUGUACAAUUCAGACAGCCAUGAUAAAUUAAUUGAAAUGAGGACUCAUGGUUUGCUUAAUCUUAGAAGUAGCUUCAUCCCCUAGUAAUACUUGAGCCGCAAGGGAUCAUAUCUUCUGCAGAAAAGAAUUUGUUGGUUGAAGGAAGAUGCAAAAGCAUAUAUGAAACUGACGUCGACCAUUGUCAAAUAGACCUAAUGUGAUGGUCAUAUCCCCAAACGACAUAUGAAAUGAGCCGGUCUCUCUAUGUCAUCUUUCUACAAAGGCAGAUGUGAGAUCGUUGUAGACCAUUGUCAAAUAGACAUAGUUAAAGGGUUUCAACCUUGAAUCUUCAAAAUCCAUUAGAGUACAUGUGCUGGUAUGUUCACAAGUGUGAACUUCUUAAAUAUUUGGUCAUGUGUGACCACCUUUAAGGGAGCAUGAUCGUGCAUGUAACAAUAAUUUUGUUGAAGAUAUACUCAUUAUUUAUUGACACUUAAUUAGAAAACAUAAAUAACAUAAAAAAUAUCUUUCAUCGCCAUAAUCUCAAAGUCACAUGGCGUUCAUAUUGGAUAACACCGAUGCAUCGUAGGGUUAAGGAACCCAACAUGCUGCUCCUAUGUGACUUGCUACAUAGCAUAUGUCAUGGUCCUAUCCUCCUCCAUUUCAACAUGACUAUGACCACAAACAUGUGGACCACGGAUAGAAACACACAUCCUCUCUGUAGAUUGUAGAUGCAGUAAGAUAAAAUCUACCACCAGUCGGUGGAACUGUAUCAUCAACUGGUGGUACUCUAUCACCAAUGUUAUGAAUGACUCUGCUACUUGCUUCUCUAGUUCAACCCACUAAUGUACAGAGAGGAUGUGUUGCUAUCCGUGGUCCACAUGUUUGUGGUUGAUAAACGGGCGGACGUUGCUGGGACAAAUGAUAAAUGGAGGUAAUUGCUACUAUUGGUGUUAUGUGGUUGUCAACGAGUAACAAAAUAAUUGGCUGUGAGUGUUACAUGGAAAUUAUUUGCCUGAUUUCGUCUUACUUAGUGUUAAUUCUCAUUCUCAUAUCAGGAAGAUGAGGUUUAUCAUCUUAGUACUUUAGUCAUAGUCACCGUUUUUAUUAGCAGUGUAUUAGAUUUAGAUGCAGUUUGUUAACUUACUAUUAUUAUUCAUUGAAAACAGUUGAUUACAUAAAAGCACUUCAUCAUCCAAACAAAAAUUUGUAUGAUUUUGCCAGAGGUUGUACGCUAGCUACGAGAGUUUCGGCAAAAAUGGGAUUGAUUAAGAUGCAUACACAUAGCUGAGAUGGUUGUUUCUGUUAUUACCAACUGACUUUGGAAUUUAUUUAUCUAUGAUCAAGUUCAAUGAACUUGACACAAGUCUUGCUUUUCAUUCUUUCUAAUUUUAUGCUGAUUGUUGAUUUGUAUAAAUGACCUUAAGGAUAUAAAAAGUUAAAUUUAGUAAUCUCCACCAGAACACCGAAGUCUCAUAAUUUGGAAUAUAGGAACUCAUUAACUUGUGUGACUGUGAAGUAGCUGCUGUCACACACCCUGCUUGAUCGAAUUUUUUAUCAAGAAACAAAGCGAGUCAUCAUACUUCAGUUCAAACCCUUAAACAUGCUACCCAAAGCUUUAUUCUGGCUGAUGCAUAAUCUUCUGGUUUAUGUACAUAUACUGUUUUGCAUUAAAUACCUAUUCAACUUGACUUUUAUUUUAUAUGAGCAGAUUCGGCAAAUUGUGUUAAAGUUAGUGAAAAAUAAGUUGGUUGCUAUUACUUGUGCUGCAAGCUUCACUGUGUGACUAAUUUGCAAUCUAAUCAUUGCAGCUGUAAUAGUUAGUUAUAGGUUAGUUACUUAAGAGUUAAGUAACCAUAGUUGAGUUAGCAUAUUAGAAUACUCUAUAUAUACAUUAGUAACUCAAUUGUAACACAGUUUUUCAUACAUGAACAAUAUACACAGUUUUUUUUUUUGUUCUUUCUUCUGCACCUUUCACAUUGCAAGGUUGAUUUGCAUUUUCAUGGAGUUUGAGAUUAUCCUUUAACAUGGUAUCAGUCGCAUACCGUAUCUCAACUCUAAUUCUCUUCUUCUUCCGUUGCAUUUCAUCUCUGUUCUUCUCCAAUUUCUUGUUUUGAUCCCGUUUUGUGGAUCUUCUUCUUCUUCUUUCUUCUUCUUUUUCGGUUAGAACUCAUUUUGCUUCUAACACGUUCUUUCAUGUCUAUUUUUCUUCUUCAAUUUGUUACGUUUCUUCAUUCUCUUCUUCCUAAAUCACCAUGUCUGAUGCAAGUUCUUCUAGUAGCGUUCAUGGCGGUUAUGCCGUUCCCAAGAACAAGGGUUAUCAAACGGAUAUUUUGAGUCCAUAUUUCAUGCAUCCAAACGAAAAUCCCGGUGCAGUUCUGGUUACUCCCCUUCUUUCAGGCAACAAUUAUCAUUCUUGGUCCCGUUCAAGCAAGUUGCUCUACGAUCCAAACAUAAACUGCAUUUCAUCAAUGGUGCGCUUCCAAGACCGUGUGAUGAUGAUCAUGAUUCAAUAGCUUGGGAUCGUUGCAACACGAUGAUAAUGUCUUGGUUAAGCAAUUCUGUUGAUCCUCAAAUUUCCCAGAGCAUCUUAUGGAUGGAUACUGCAUUAGAAAUAUGGAAUGAACUCAAAGAAAGAUUUUAUCAAGGUGAUAUCUUUCGCAUCUCAGAUCUUCAAGAGGAAAUUUACACUCUGAAACAAGGUGAAAGUUCUAUCUCCUCUUAUUACACUAAAAUGAAGAAACUUUGGCAAGAACUAGAUAAUGUCAGACCCAUUCCCACUAGUAAUUGUGUGGAUGAUUGCAAGGCUAUUGCAAAGAUGCGUGAGUAUAAAGAUUCUGAUCAGGUUAUACGUUUUCUUAAGGGUUUGAAUGAACAAUUUUCAGCUGUUAGGUCUCAAAUUAUGUUGAUGGAUCCUCUUCCCAGUAUUGGUAAAGUCUAUUAUUUGCUUGUUCAGCAAGAAAGACAAGUAGUUAUACCAUUAGAUGAAUCAAAAUUGUUAGCUGUUUCCAACAAUUCCUUUUCUGGACAUUCCUCAUAUGGUAGAGGUCAUAUGAAUGCUUCUCGUGGUAGUGGUGAUAGGGGAGGCAGAUCUUCAUAUGGUAGAGGUAAAGGAAUCAGGGCUUGUUCUUUCUGUGGAAAAUCCAAUCACACAGUGGAUACUUGUUUCAAGAAAUAUGGAUUCCCUCCUCACUAUCAGCAAGAAAACUCCAUCAACAACUGCACUGAUGUUAGUGGAAAUGAAGAAGAGCAGAACUCUGCACAUUUUGAAGAUGAUCAGAAUGAUUCUACAACUGAGAAAUUCUCCCUUACUUCUGAGCAACACAAAGCUUUGUUAGCACUUUUACAAAAUUCAAGUACUUUGCCAUCUCAUAGUUUGAACCACAUCACCACUACUCCUGCAUCACGCACAGGUAUCAUAUGUACAAUCCCUAUUUUACCAAAACCUGAUGCUUUCAUUCUUGAUUCAGGAGCCACAGAUCAUGUAUGCCAUUCUUUAAAAAAAAAUUCAAUGCAUGAAGAGAGUUGCACCCAUCAACAUCAAAUUACCUAAUGGUUCCAUUGUUUCUACUAGUUUAAUAGGCACCAUAGCUUUUACUUCUGAUUUUUACCUCACUGAUGUACUCUAUUUCCCACAAUUUUCCUUUAAUCUCAUGUCUAUCCCAAAACUAAUAAAAAAUAUACAUUGCACAUUCUUUUUUUGAUAAUACAAGGUGUUUGAUACAGGCCAAGCAUUCCCAGAAGAUGAUUGGUGCAGCUGAGUUGGAAGAUGGAUUAUAUCUGCUUAAGACACCUUUAGUUAGUAUAGUGCAUACUCCUUAUCUGCAUUGUAUCAAUAAUGUCAAAAAUAUGACUUUGAAUAAAGAUUGUAAUCUGUGGCAUAUGCGUUUUGGUCAUGCUUCACAUGACAAGUUGAUUGAAAUAAAGAAAAAAUUUCCCUGUAUUUCCAUUGAUACUUCUUCUGAUCCUUGUGAUAUUUGUUUUUAUGCCAAGCAAAAGAGACUUCCUUUUUCUUUAAGUUCCCGUAUAAAGUUUUGUUUUGACUUUAAAUAGAACCUGCACAAGUGGAUGGUUAGAUUAAAUCGUUGAGAUUAAUAGGUCCUUGUACGAGAUAUCAAGUUUUUUUCUUAAAAGAGUGUUGCUAGUAUUUUUUAUUUUAUUAUAAUCGUGCCAUUUUGUAAAUUCUUAAUUAAAACUUUCAAGUUAUAAAUAAGAGCUGGUUAAGAACAAAAUUUUCAAGGUAACGACUACCGGUGGAAUACCUGAUAAGGAACAAAGUCAAAAUCCCUUGAUAGGUGCUGAUUGUAAAAUAAAUAAUGACAGGUAAUCUGCUAUAAAGGAGUAUAUCAGGAUUGGAAUAAAUGUAGAGUCAAAUCCCUUAAAUGGUAGAAAUUGUCAAGGCAGAAUUCAAAUGGACCUAUCAACUAUGAUUGAACCAAGGCUUUUUGCAUGAACAAAAUCAGAUUAAAUCAAUCUUUAUCUAUGUUAAACUUAGAUGAAGCUUUCGAAAAUUAUUGUAAGGGGAUAUGUUCAUUGGACCGUUUUGGGAUCAUAUGUUGGGUUACUUGAAGGAGAGCAUAAUUAGACCUAAUAAGAUUUUAUUCUUGAAAUACGAAGACCUUAAAGAAGAUGUUAGUUUUAACCUCAAAAGAAUUGCAGAAUUUGUGGGAUUUCCUUUCACUCAAGAAGAGGAAAAUAAUGAAGUGAUUGAAAAUAUAAUCAAGUUAUGCAGCUUUGAGAGUAUGAAGAGAUCAAAGGGAAAUCAAUCUGGAAUAAUAGGAGUCAUUGAUAAAGAGUUUUUCUUUAGAAAGGGAGAGAUGGGGGAUUGGGUGAAUUAUCUCUCCCCUUCAAUGAUAGAAAAAUUAUCCAAAGUCAUAAAAGAAAAAUUAAGUGGAUUAAGCCUAUCAUUUAAAGGGUGCCCUUAACUCAGCAACAAAGUUGGUGUUUUGUUGUAUUUAAUAUAUGUGUUUGGUGUUGGUGCUCUAUUUAUUUUCUUAAUUUGCAAAAUAAAGACACAUUACAUGUCUAUUCAGACUAUUCUAUCAUGUGGUAAUCUAGAUUGUCACCAAACAAUCCCUUCAAGAAUCAGUUCGAUGGAAAGUGUCAAUGUGUGUAAAUUUUCCUAUUGAAUUUAUUUACUUCUUUGGAAAAUUAUGUGAUAUAUAAAAUCAACAUUUUCGAUUGAAAGGGUGAACGCGCCGCCCACUACCCUCCUCAUCCUUCAAUGUAGCGACGGCCAUGUGUGGUGUUACGGUUGGCAGUAGCCUCCGCACCACCUUCUUUCUUGAAUCUGCCAGAGGUUCUACUGCUGGCCUGGUCGGUGGUCUCUGGUGGGUUGAAGAUUGAGACUCUGUUACAGAGCUUGGAUAUGGGUUCCUUGUUGUUUGGUGGUUCCACAACAGUUGAUUUCGCGUAGAGAAUUGUUGUUCCCACAUUUGGUUUGGCUGUGCCACACGAGUAAAUUACUCAAAUGCCCUUCGGUAGUAAACUGCCGAAGUUUUUAGGAAACCGGCGGCAGUUAACUGCCGAGGAAAACCUCGGGAGUUAACUGCCGAGGAAAAUGUUAUAAGAACAGAACUGCAUAGGAGUUUCCAAAAUUCCAUUGUUGCGUUUUUAAUUAUCCAAGGUGCGAUUUUGAGUCAUUUGAAGCCAUUACAAGCCAAUUUCAAUCACAAAAACAAGUAAGUUUUUGAAUCCUAUUGCAUUGUUGCUUUGUGGUCGAAUUGUAUGUUAUUUUUUGUUAAAUUUCGAUUAUAUAGGUUCGAUUAUAUUGAUUUGUUGAAUUUAUGAUAUGUUAGGAUAGUUUAAGUUAGAAUGGUUAGAAUUGUUAGGAUAGUUUAGGUUAGUAUAGGUUGAAUUGAUCGCCAUUUUUUUUUAAUGUAGGAUAUGUCUCAAAAUCAGAAUCAGGGUAACGUUCAGGGUGAUGAGAAGAAAAAAGAAAAAUCACCUAUGACGUGGCAUGGAAUUGUUUGCGAUGGUUCCGAAAAAAAGAAGGGUUCGAAGGUGCCAGUGUACAAUCACUCGAGGUUGAGGAGGAGCGGGAGGAUAUGCUAUUUCGGUCCUCAACCAAAACAAGGUACCGCAGGGACUGUAGCGGACAAGCCGAUUGAUUUGUGUGACGAGGAAGAAUGAAUGUAAUGGCUUUUAAUGCCUAAUUGUUUUCGAUUUUUUUAUGUUUUAUUUUUGUGUCGCGCACAUUUUGUUUGACAUUAUGGUACUUAGAAUAAAAUUGCAUUUGGAAUAAAUAAAUUUGAAAACAAAAUAAGAUAAUUAUUGUUCCAUUCAAAACAAAAUAUAUGUUAUCACAUUACAUAGCAUUACACAUUAGAUUCCGAAAUUUACCUUCCAGCUGCAACAAUUAUCUUACCACUGAAUGUGGCAAAUUCAAACUUGCUAAGCAGCAGGACCCCAGUAUUCGAUCAGCAUCUUGAACGCUGGUAUUCAAGUGUCAAAAGAAUGAGGUGCAUUCCUUGACACUUGAAUACCAUUGUUCAAGAUGCUCAUUGAAUGCUGGAGUCCUGCCGAUUAACAAGUUUGAAUUGCCCCAUCCAGAGUAAGACAAUUGUUGCAGUUGGAAUGUGCAUUCCAACUGCAACAAUUGUGUUACCUUUGAAUGGGAUAAAUUCAAACCUGCAAAACAACACGACUCAAGCAUUUCACCAAGCACUUCAUGUUUUCCCUUUGAAAAGAAUAAAUUUUUGUUAGGCUUGCUUUAGAUGAUGGUAUUCAAGUGCCACCGAAUUGAGGUUCAAUCCUUGACACUUAAUACCUUCAUCUAAACCAACAUAACAAGAAUUUAAUAUUUUCAAAGGAGAAACAUGAGGCGCUUGCGAAAUGCUCGAGUCCUGUUGUUUGACAAGUUUGAAUUACCCCAUUCAAAGGAAGACAAAUGUUGUAGUUGGAAUGCACCUUACCCUAACUAAUGACGAUCUUCUGGCGGAAUCAAACUUUUGAUGAUAUCUUCAGUUGAUCUAAGCAACUUCACCCGCAUAUCGAUCCACUGGAACAUGUUGUGCUCCCAAAACAUGCUCGUCACGUUUUCGUCGUUCGUUAAUUCCACCCAAGUGAAUGAUACUCUCCCCUCGUCGAGCGUUGGACGUUUAUACCAAACGUGUUCCACCAUACUUGUGUCUCUGGGGUUGACUCCUUGGUUGAAUUCAAUCAGUUUAUCCUUGAGACCUCUUAACGUUACACCAAGGCACCAAACCUUCAACCUCUGAGGUUCUCUGCCGUUGAAUUGCGCAUGAACGUCGAUCCACCCGACCAUUGUUUUAAAUCUACAUAAUAAGAAACUAAAAACAAUCAAUGUAAAACUCAUUCAAACAUUUCAUUGAACACUUGAUGUGCACAUUAUACAUUGACUCUAAAAUUCAUAAAAAUAACCCUAAAAUUAUAAAUCAUAUACUCUUACUAAAAUAAAAAAAUUAAUCAUAUAACAUAAACAUCAUGCAAAUAUUUUAACAACAUUAAUCAACUAACAUCUACCCUAAAAAUUAAUUAUAACAUGUAAAUCUACUAAAAAAUAAUAAAUGUACUCAAAAACUAAAAAAUAAUAACAUUUAUAACAACUAAAAUGUAAGUUAAUAGUAUUAAAAUUACUUACUUGUGAUUUUGUUGAAUAAAGUUGGUUGGAUUUGGUUGUGUUUUUUAGAGAGAUUUUGAGAGAAAUUUGAAGAAAUUAUUUGGAAGAUAAGAUGAAUAAUGGAUGAGAGGAGAUUCUGCCAGAUUUGUAGGUCAGAGAUCCUCGGCAGUUAACUACCGAGGUUUCCCUCGGCAGUUAAUUGCAGCCGAAUUUUUCAAAAUUUCGGCAGUUAACUGUCAAAGAAAAACUGCCGAAAUAAACCUUGGUAGUUAACUGCCGAGGUUUUCUGCAUCAUUCUAAAAAAAUCAUUCUAAAUUAUUUUGAAAACCGGACUUUUUCCCAAACGUUUAAAAUUCAUUAUAACGAUUCAAACAACAACAAAAUAUUGGUGCAAAUGCACAACUUAAUUUAACCAACAUUUUUGUACAUUAAACAAAGUAAAAAGAUCCCAUGAAAGUAGAAAUAUACAAUUAUACAAAUAAUGUCAUCAAAGUAGAAAUAUACAAUUAUACAAAUAAUGUCAUCAAAAGACGAGAACUAAAAAACAAGUCCUAAAAAUGAAAAUACUACUACUGGUCCUGAUCCUGCUGAUGGUGCCUCCUCCUCGGCCUCUGGGCUCGCCUCCUGGUCAAAAUCGGCGCGAUCUGCUCCCUCAUAUGGGUCAUGGCCUCAAACCACUACUGAGGGGUCAUGCUCAUGACCUCCUCCUGGCCUAAUUGCGCAUCAGCGUAGGCAACAGCGCCACUAACCAUGUCAUAGGUGUCAGGCGAGCUUCUCGCCUCAUACUGCUCCCACUGAUCUGCAAUGAUCUGCUCUUCAUUUGCAGGCCUCGGAAGAUCUCCUGGAAGAGGUGGCAAGAUCUGAGGGUGAGACACCCUAGUGUACCACAGGACAUAGCCAUCCGCCAUCCGCCAUGUAUCCUCUCCUGCCUGCUCACCCCGAUCGUCCGCCUUAAGCGUGUGAGUGCGGAAGUCGACGAACAUCUGCACAAUGGAAGGCGGUGGGAGGUUCCUAACAUCAGUCGGAUGUCUGGGGAUGGUCUGCACGUAUCCGUACUGCCUCAAAACCCUCUCGGGCAAGUGACGGUACACCCUACGGACACCGCACAUAAUCCACCCAGAAUACCAGAAAACCUCCUCGAAGUCCUGGAUCUCUCUGUGCUCCUCGUACGGCCUCCAGCAUACAUCAUCUAACUGUAUACGAUCAAGCAGUGACCAAUACGUGAUCCCCUCCCCAUGACCCUUCUGGAGCUUCCACCUCGCUGCAACCGGAUAGUUUUCCACGUAGUCAGUGUUGGGAUCAACACUGUAAAACCCAGGAAAAUGCGCCAAAAACCAUGCCUGCACAAACCAAACAAAUAACAUUUAUAAAUUAUUACGCACGGAAAAAUAUAACAAAAAAAUAAAAGUUAACAAAAAAAUAAAGUUAACAUAAAUAUAAAAUAUAAGUUUUCUUACAGUGAGCAGUGUCACGCUCCCCCCCAAGAGCUUUGUCUCCAGGCCUACAUGCAUCGGCUAACUCGCUGUAUAGGUAAGCGAGGGUCAUACCUCCCCAGGAAUAAUUACGCAUCCCUGCGUAGCCGUCCUCCAUGGUCGUCAAAUAUAUCAACUCUAUGCGCUUGUUGCUUCUAUCGCCAAACAACAAGCAUCCGACCAAGUAGAGAAGGUAACACCGGACGCAGUAAGUCCUAACCCUCGCCAGCUCCUCAAGCUCCUCCGAAUCCUCCGUACCAGCCAAUAAGUUGGCCCUACCAAGGUACGUGGUAUAAAAGUCCCUCAGCCUCGGGUAGCUAAUGUACCCACCGUACUCCUGGCCGCAAAUCUUUUCAGCCUCAUGCUACGACACACCCAGAUGCCUCAUAAGCAGUGCCGCUACCUCAUGCCUCGGCAUCUUCUUCCCAUGACUCAACAUCCGCCCCUCAAUAGGAAGAUGCGUGAGACAUGCGACAUCAUCCAAUGUCACAGUCAUCUCCCCCAUGGGCAUGUGAAAGGUGCUGGUCUCAGGAUGCCACCUCUCGCAUAAAGUCAUCAGCAGGGCAUGAGGCACGGUGAAGUACCCCAAGUAAACCAAGUCAUGUAGCCCGCUUUGCUUAAGCGGAUCCCAAAACCAAUUCUCAUUCCCGUUAGGGCGUCCGAGAGUGAGAAUCUUGGCCCCAUGAUUAAUCGGUUUAAGCACACGGAGCUUACGAACCUGAAAUAAUAGAAAAAUAAAUAUGGUUUAAACAAAAACACAUAUAAAGAAAACAAUUAAACAUAAAAAAUAGAAUUAAAAAAAACACAUAUAAAAGUGUAUAUAAUAAUUAAACAAACACACUUUUAAAGAAAAUAAUUAAACAUAAAGAAAAAGAAUUAAGAAAAACAUGUAAAAGUGGAUAUAAUAAUUAAACAAACACACAUUUAAAGAAAAUAAUUAAACAUAAAAAAUAGAAUUAAAAAAAAACACAUAUAAAAGUGGAUAUAAUAAUUAAACAAACACACAUUUAAAUUAAAGAAAAUAUUUUAACAUAAAAAAAAAACAUUUAAAAAAAUUACACUUACAUUAUUUGAAUUAUAUCAGAGUGGCAACGCCACAUGAUCGGCAUAAGAGUGGAGCAAGGACAAGUCAGCCGGUCCACCAGGAAAGGGAGGGUCCACAGGUAACACCUCCGGUGCAGCAGCUGCUGCAAUGUCAUCAUCGUCACCUGCAUCCUGCUGCUGUGGUAUAUGAUCCUGGUCAUAUCCACCAUCAGUCACAUCAUGCUGUACCUGAUCCUGAUAGUUCAGGUACUCCAUCCCAGUCUGGUCAACAAGCUGUGACGGGUCAACAACCUGUGACUCCUCAUGUUGUGUAGCCUGAGAGCUUCCUGAGCCAUCUCCCCUCCGACCUCUACCCCUCUUUGGGAUGUGGCCGCUCUGCCUCUCCCUCCGGUGGCUCUGAGUCAUCGCACGCCUACCACCAAUCAUCUUAGAUGGAUCAAUGGGGUCCUGAUCGGCCAUAUCUACAAAACAAAAAAUAAAAUUAAUAUCAUUUUCAUAACCUAAUCAAACACAUUCAACCUAAACUAAACAUAAACAAAAUCAAACUGAUUAAAAGUACAACAAUGAACAUCAUUUCCAUAACCUAAAAUCAUUUAAUAUAAUCAUCAUUACAAUAAAAUUUAUGUCCAUCAUUUCGAUAAUAACCUAAACAUCAUUCAAUAAUUAACAUACACUUAAUCAUUUCUAUACAACUAAAUCAUUUGUGUCCAUCAUAAUUCUCGUAACCUAAACUAACUAAAAAAUCAAUAUACACUUAACCAAACUAUAAUUAACCCUAAUUUCUAUCAUUUCCAUAACUAAACUAACUAAAUAAUCAAUAAAAUUGUCAUUGAGACAUUUUAUCAAACACUUUGUGUGCAAAGUAUAAAACAUAUUCAAAUUGUGUUCAUUUGCCACCAUUCAAAGCCACAUUAUGAUUUAAACAACAUAGGCAACAACUACAUUCAUUUAUCAAUUCCUGAACUACACAUGCAAUCAUCAAAUUGUCAAUUUUGAAAUCAACCCUAACCACAUACAAACCACUCUAAUUUUUUUAAAAAAAUAAACCUAAACAAAUUAACAUUAACAUUAAAAUGAUUGACACAACUUAUUUGUGAUAAUGUGCACUUGAUUUGCUUGCAAUUCGCGAAAAUGGAUUUGGUGAAGAUUGGAGAGAAAUUGAGAAUUUAGAAAGUUUUUUGAAAAUGGGAGGUUCUGGUUCUGCGAUCUGUUUAAGUUCAGAUUUCCUCGGCAGUUAACUGCCGCCGGUUUCCUAAAAACUUUGGCAAUUUACUACCGAAGGGCAUUUGCGUAAUUUACUCGUGUGGCACAGCCAAACUAUGUGUGGGAACAACAAUUCUAUUUCGCGUAUGUUCUCAUCAUUCUGUUGAUUGAUUCUAUGGUUUUCGUCGCCGUCGACGGCUACAACGGAGUUCGUCUAAAACCCUCUCGGGUAGGAUCCAUUAGAUCCGGGUCACAUUUUAGAUCUGGUUUUCCUCUGAUCUGUCCUACUUGGUCUCGCCGCGUGUUGGUCGAUUCAAGGAGGUCUCGAUCAGAAUUGUUGAGUAGAUGUGUCAGAUUAGACAUUUUCCUCUCCGGCGGUCAAGCUUCAGCUCGGAUUCCCAACCUACCGUCGUCCUCAUCCUCAAGGUUGUCGUCGUUCUUCAAGGUCUGAUAAAGGACGAUCGUUGUGUUGAUCUAAAUGUUUCUGUAUGAUAGUUGCGUUUCUGGUCUAAAGGUUCAAGUAUUCCUCCCUGUGUCGGAAGGAGAGUCUUAUUUGGUAUUUUCUUUGGGGCUCAAAAGAGUUUUUAACUUGCCGUGCUUUGCAAGGAGAGGAUGGUGUGUGGAUCUGCUCCGUGUUUACGAUUGGUCCGUUCACCGUGGUCUAGACCUCUACUUAAGAGGCUGUUUUGAUCAAUUUGUGUUGUUUUUAAUUUUCAUAUUACAUGUUUGGGUAUACCUACAUUUUAUGGAUAAACUAGUUAUUAGGUUUAUGUCCCCUAUUUUUUAUUUUUUAUUUUUUUUAAUAAUAUUUAUAAGCACUUGAAAAAAAAUUAGAGAUAUCAACUUAGUUGAGAGCCACUCUUUUUGAUGUCAUUUGCUCUUGUCUUGUAAAAAAAAAAGUUGAUAUAUAUCGUAUAUAUACUUGAGUAUACUAGUAUUUACCUUAUCCAAAUAUCUUAAUACCUUUGGAAAGUGCUCACCUUAUGCAAAUAUUUCAAUUGCUUCUAACGUGGUUGGGAUACUAAAGAAUGUAAACUUAAAUACAUCCUCCGGUCAGUAUUAUAAACAAAAAUCUACUUUUUAGGUUCAUUCAAUAAAUGAUGUAUGUAGUUCAUUAAAUAGGCCACACACAUCAUUUAUUGAAUGAACCUAAAAAAAUAAAAUUUUACUUAUAAUAGUGACCGGAGGAUGUAUGCAACACAUAUCAAUAAUAUUUAUUCAAUAUUAGUUUUUGGGUUCAUAAGAGUCCUAAGACAAAUAUAGUUUUUGGGAAAGUUUGUGAUUAUGCAUGCUCGUUUUAUUUUUUGAAAGGGUGAAAAUGAAAUAUAUUAAUACCAACCAUAAGAAGUCUUUUAAGUACAAGUGGCACCGGAAAUGACGUAAUAAAAGAGCAGAGUUAUAUUACAAGAAAGUCCAAACAACAAAAGAGAAAACAAUGUUACAUAUGUUACCGCAGUUAAACAAGGAAUUGGAUUAAGCCUUUAAAAAUGAUAAUCCAAAAUAAGAUAUCUCAAUUUCAACUACUAAAAAAGAUUGAAGCUUUACCUUUUCAUUUAAAGAUUGCAGGUGCUCCUCCUUGUGUCUAAAGAUGCGUAUAUUUAUCUCUUUUUAAAUGACUCAAAUCACUGAAAGUCAAAUAAUAUCAAUAGCCUAACAGAUAUUUUUCGAAUUAUCCCUUAAUCCACCAAACCGCAGGAAGACGAUCUUGUUAAAGUAGAGACCAUCUUGAAAUUAGAGACCAGAUUCUACCAAAAAAGUCACAUGUAACAAAUAUAUGGUCCAUGUCUUCUAUCAAACCACAACUUGUCGAACAAUUUUGAUCAUUUAGACUAAGAAUCCCUCGUCUUACCAAAUUAUCCUUUGUCGGAACAUGAUUAAUAAGAAGUAAGCGCCAAACAAAUUAUUAACUUUUAGCGGAACAACUUUUAACCACAACAUUAUUGUUAGUCGGAUGGAUGUUGUCUUCCACUCCAGUCAAGUUGUUACAAGACAUAAUGACCGUAAACAAUUGAAGUUAAAUGCUCAACACAUUCCCCCACCAACUUUCCUCCCAAGCAAACAACGUCCUACACCACUUCCACGGCUCACCGUUCACUCCCCAACCUAAAACAUUCAUUUACCACAGUCACCAUUUUGUUCUCCACUAACUUAUAAAGCCCACCAAAUUUAACGUUAAAAGAAGAUCUCUUGAGUUAGAGGUCCCUCCAAAAUAGGGUAGAUGUCCAAUCACCUACCUCACAACCAAGCAAAUGAAGAGUUCUCAUUUCAAUGUUGUGAUAAUUUAAUUACAAUUCACAAUUCGACUGGAUACCUAAAUAAACUUCAGAAGACAAUGGAGCAUCCUUGGAUAAUUAAGAAUGCAAAUCGUAUUACUGUAAAGAAUUGUUAAAAGGAAAGUGUGCCCAAACAUUUUAUUCAUCUAAGUUAAGCCUCAAUUAAAUUUAACUCACAAGGGCAUUGCAACAUUUCAUAUUGGCAACUUAACCAAACUGUACCAAUUUGAACUAAAUCAAAUCAUGCAUAUCAAAUUUAAUUAGAUUGGACACAUGACUAAAUUGUAAAAGACAAGAACAUAUCACAUUGAACCGAAUCAAACCAAAUAUGAUACAAAUCAAAUUAGGAAAAUUCUAUGGUGAAGUUCCGAAAAUGACUUCUCCGGUGAAGUAACCCUACAACUAAUAAGAACGCGCCAUAUUUGUUAGUGAUGCCAUGUCAUACUGGCAGAUGCAUGGUAUGUACUGUGUUCCUUUAGACAAAUUUAAUAGUACUUUAGCCCUUGAACUAAUUAUAAUUGCACUAUUUUCUUUUUAUUUUUAAAAGAUCAAUUUAAAUCAUCUGUUAACAAUUAAGUUAAAAAAUUAAAAUUAAGAUAAAAAAACAGACUUCAACCUUCCCCUGUUCCUUCAGAAAAACAUACCCUUGUUCGUUCUCCUCUCCCACCAUAGUAGAAGGAUUUCGCCUCCAAUCUCCACCCUUUUCCCGAUCGUUGCCCUUCCAUGUAGUCCGGCAUGCAUGGCCACGGACAUGAGAAGGCCACGACGGCGACAGUUUGAACAGCUGUGCGUUAAAAUGUAGCAACACAAAGAGGCACCGAUUUGUGAAAACAACACUGCACAGAGUGGACCAAUCAGUGCAACACUAAUCAAUUCACAACAAGGCAAUCGUACGUAACAAUGGAAAACAAGUUACGGUGGAGCACUUGGAAUAGCCAACACCGAAAACAAAAGAAUAAUGGAAGUAAACAAGCUAGGCAAACCCUAGAGCUAGAUCACACAAUUAAAUACAUAUACUUUGCAUUAUACUCAAUAUUUAAAAUUAUCACAACACAUAUAAUUGAUUGUAAUAAUUGAGGUUUAUAUCUUGUCUAUCAUGAAAGAUUAAAGAUGAAUUAAAAUAGAUAUAAACUUAUAAUGAAUAGCUAGUAAAAUAACGAGCUAAUAUAACGACCAUCAAAAGACAAUUAAUAAUAAUUAUAAUUUAAAGAAUGAGGCUUUUUCCACUAUAAAGUGAUCAUGCCUAUUUAUAUUUCUACAUACAAACAAGUAAAUAAUAUGGAUGAAAUUAUCAAGUUUCUUUUUGUUAUGGUUAUUUAUCUUUUAAUGUUCACCAUUGUAAUCGACGGUAAGUUUAUUUUUGCAAAAAAAAAAAAAAAUCAAACUUUUCUUUUUAAUCUUAUACGUACUCAAUGUUUUAUUGCAUAUUACUAACAAUAAUUUUUUUUAAUUUGUCAUCAUAGCGACUUCUUUUUGUGAUUCUGUUAAAGAUUGUCGCGAACCUGCUUUUUUUUGUGAGCCUCCUAAAAUUGCAAGGUGCGUAAUGUUGUUUUGUCGAUGUGACUAAUAGUAGCAAUUAAGUUUAAAACUAGAUCCUUCAAAAAAAAAAGUUUAAAACUAGGUGUAUGGUACUUCUAAAAGCGAAUAAUUGUAUUUAAAAUUAUAUUGUUGAUACUUUUUUGAUAUAUUUCACACUUCAAUAUCUGUUCAUCAGACCUUCAAAUUUAUUUGAUUGACGAUUGCAUUUGAAAUUAUAUUGUUGGUACUUUUAUGAUAUAUUUCACACUUCAAUAUUUGUUUGUCAGACCUUCGAAUUUAUUUGAUUGACUAGAAAUCAUAUUAUUGUAUUAUGCAAGCGUUGCUACAUUUGUUCGCUCUUAGAAGUUAUCGAGAUUAAUUUGCACAAUUAAAACUAUUUACGUUAAUAAAUAAAACAUAAAAAAUGUUAAUAAAUAAAACCAAUAUUUUAUUUAUUUAAAUAAAUCAUUAUGGAGCAUAUUAUUAGAAAGACAUCUAUAGUAAACAAGGUUAGUAUUGUAAAAGUGUCAUGUCUUUUAACAAAAUUAUUACAUUUCAUAAAUUCAUGUAAUUAUAUUAUUUUGUAAUUAUUUAAAAUAAUUUGUUAAUGACUCUCAUUUUAGCGGUUAAUGACAUACUCAAAGUAACUAAUGAGACAUAUGUUUUUAUUUUAUUUUAUAAAAGUCAGAAAUUUAUUGGAAAAAAAAAAAGCAUAAAAAAAUUGAGGUGAUAAAUGCCGAAACCAAAUUAAACUAACAAAACCUAAUAAAUGAAAACAUGAUACAUCUCUAAAUAAAAGGGUUAAAAUAACAAGUAGAGCUGUCAAAACGGUAUGGGCCGGCCCGUUUAACCCGAAUAAAUAUAGGGCUUGGGCCUAAGAUAUUGAGCCCGAAUUUUAAUAGGGCUUUUUAGCCCGGCCCUUAAAAGCCCGAUACCCGUUAGGGCUAGCCCGAAUGGGCCGCGGAUAGCCCGUUAGCCCGCAUAACAAAAAAAAAUUCUAUAAAUUAUAUAUAUUUUUCAAAUAAUUAUUUACUUAGUUGAUUAUCAAAGUAAAAAACAAAAAUGAAAAUUCAAUGAAUUAACACAAAUAUAAAUGUAAUAUAAAAUUAUAUUUAUUCAUUUCAUUAUUUAUAAUUUUAAAGAUCGAAUAUAUAAAUAUCUAUAACCAUAACAUAUCUAAUUUAUUUAAAAUCAUUUUCCUCGUCGUUUUAGUUUACGACGUUUGUACAAAAAUGUUUACAAUUUACUUUUGUGCUAGACAUUAUUUAAACAUAUUAAAAAUAUUAUUUAUAAAAAAAUUAUAGUAAUGUUUUAUAGUACUUUUUUAAAAUAAAAAAAUAUAUAAUUUUUAAUACGGGCCGGACCCGGAUAGUAUAUUUCAAACCCGUUUUGUCAACCGGACUUUUUGGCCCAGCCCGCUAAAGCCCGAAGCUCGCUAGGGCCGACCCGUUUAGGGCCGGGCCACCCGUUUUGACAGCUCUAAUAACAAGGGGAUCAAACCAUGAGCAAUCCAAAACAAGAUAUUCAUUUGAUAUUCAUUUUUUGAUUGUAUUUGCAUGUAUAAUUUGUUAUUUACUUGCAUGUAUAAAAUAAAGGAUUGAUGACCCAAUCUUAUGUUUAUGUUCCAAAAAUACUUCUCUAUAUUUUUUAGGUUUAAUUGCACUUUCCCCCCUUAUCUUUUGCCAAUUGUGUGAUUUUGCACCCUAUUGUUUUAAAUGAGCGAUUUUGCACGCCAUCAUUUUCCCCCUUUCUGAUUUCAAGGUCCCCGUGUGUUUCAGUGAUGAUGUGUUCAUUUUUUAUGACGUGUUCACAUUUAAUUCGUUCCAUGUGUGUAAUUUUUUUUUUUUUGUCAAGUAGCGUAGUGGUUAGAAUUCACCUUAUAAGGUGAAUAAGUGGGGUGUCCGGGGUUCGAACCCCGGCCCCUGCAUAUAAUAAUGCAUUGUCCUACCAACUGAGCUAUGCUCACGGGACGUAAAUCAUAUUUUUUUUUUUUUAAAAAAAAAAAAAUUCGAAAUUAAACAGAGGGAGUCACGUGAUAUCCUUUUUGAAAUCCCUAAUUUUUAUCUUCUUCCCCCAUUCCUUCGACUGCAUGCCUCCUCCAUUUUCUUCCUCUUUUUUGCUUCCUUUUUGCUUGCUUUCUCAUACCUUGUUAUCGAUCAUCGAUCUCUCAUCUUUCUUAGAAAUCGUGGUUGAGCCUAACACAACCCCACAAAAUCGGUUUGCGAGGUGAUGAUUGCCCCCACUUAUAAACACAUUGUCAGGCCAUGUCGUAUCCGAUGUGGGACUCUUAACACACUCGCUUGGUUCGUGGACAUAAACGGUGGGUGGCCUGAUAGCGGAAACCUGAUAGCAGGUGGCCCAAUGAAUCUUGGAGAGAGGCUAUGAUAACAUCUUAGAAAUCGUGGUUAGGCCUAACACAACCCCACAAAACCGGUUUACGAGGUAAGGAUUGCCCCCACUUAUAAACACAUUGUCGAGCAUGUCUUAUCCAUGUCUUAUCCGAUGUGGGACUCUUAACAAUCUUUUCUCACAUCCUUCCUUGAUUUUGAACGGUGUCUGUUACUUGAUUUUGAACUGUUGCAGAUUCAUAGAUUUUCGCUUGUUCCUUGUCAUCUUCAUUUUCAUUGUUGGAGCUUCUACCUUCACCUCCAAUUGAUAUAUACACAGUAGAGUCUUGAGCAAUGGUGAAUGGUGUAUGAAUUGAAAUGAUAAGUUGCAAUCAUUACUCCCACUCUCUUGUAUGUUGUAACGAUGCCAACAUAUCACUACAUGUUGAGACCAAUACGACGUCUGUCAACUACACGGACUAACGUGCACACAGCCACACCAGGGAGUGAAAAACGCAACUGCAGCUGUAGCAGACACCAAAAAACCAGCAGGAACCCUGCAAAAAAACACACCAGGCCUUCUAUCACAGAAGCACAAAACCGCAGGAACAGCAGCAGAACUAAAUACAGCAGCAGUUCUCAAGUUUUUCAAUGUGUUCGUGGAUGUCUCCUUCAUCUUUAGAUUAGAGUUUCGAUUGGAAGGAGAUGAACACAGAGAACAAUAUGAAAAGUUAGGAAUUCUGAUUGUAGGGGUGUGUUAGGAUUUUGUGAGGGUAUGAGAAGGGUCACGUGACUACUUUCUCAAAAUCUGAAAAUUCCAUUUUUUUUUAAUAAAUAUAAUUACACACGUGGCACACAUUAAAUAAUCAAAAACAGAUACAUUAUCACUAAAAGUUAUGGGGGACCUUGAAAUCAGAAAAGGAGAAAAGAACGGGGUGUAAAAUCGCUCGUUUAAAACUAUGGAGCACAAAAUCGCGCAAUUGUCAAAAGAUAGGGGAAAGAGUCCAAUUAAACCUAUUUUUUAUUUACUUUUUUUUUUAAAACAAAUUGGACAAAAAAAGUAUUAUUCACCACAUAAAUACAUUAAACACAAAAUAUGUUGUUUAAUAUUGUGUCUUAAAAUUGUGUUUUCAUAACUAUUUCUUAUUUUAUGUAGUAUAUUAGACAUAAAUGUAGUUGAUUAGUGAAGGGAACUAACACAUCAGCACAACAAUAAAUCAAUAAAUAAAAUUUCUCAACUUAUAAAAGUUUGUUAUUAUAUACUAGCGAAAAGACGGGCACUCACGUGCCUGUUUUUCUGCUCUUUUAUUGCGCUAACGUUUGAAAAUUAUGAACGGUGUUUUUUAUGAAAUUUUGAUUUUGAGUAAAACUAAAAAUAUAAAUGUUUGUUUCUUUCCAAUUAUAACAAACCAAACUAACCAUGAUUAUCUAUUUCAAUAACACUAUCAAUAUAACAAAAAAUAUAUAAUCUAAAUUCUUUUUUUUUAAUGACACCAACAAUCUUUAUUAUAGAUUUUUUUUAUGGGUUAUUAUGGAAAAAUUUGUUUAAGGGUAUAAUUGAGUAAGUAUAGAUAUACUCAUUUGUUACAUUUUUUAAAGGAUAAAGGAAAUAAAUCUAGGCAUAUAUAUACUCAUAUCGUGUUUGUUACAUUUUUAUUUUAAUAUUUGAAUUUAAUCUUAUCUAUUUGUUAUAUGUGUUAUUUGUAUUGAAAGUUGAGGGUAAUUUCGGAAAAAGAAAAAGUCAACCCAAAAGAAACAAAACAUGCUAUUUUCUUUAUAUCUUUAUAUAUAUAUAUAUAUAUAGUAUCAAAUGAGAGGACAUUUUAUAGUGAGAGAUGAAAGGAUUGCUUAAUAACCGUUAGAUGUUAAUUAACGAUUGAGAUUAAGUUGCUCAUUAAACACUAUAGUGUAUUGGAGCAUCCUUUACAUAAGAAGGACUUUCAUCUUCCUCGCUCCCUAUAUUAGGGUUGUACAUCGGUCGGUUUCGGUCGGAAAUCGGUCUCAAAACCUGAAACCGCAGAAGCCCACGGUUGAAGAUACUAAAACCAAUUCCGACCAAUUUCAGUUUCGGUUUACUCGGUUUCGGAUAAAUCGAUUUAGUCGGAGAAGCGGGCGACUUUAGUUGGUUUAUCCUAAAUUGGACCAAUCUUUUUAAAAAAAAUAUAUAUAUUUGGAAUACAAAAACUUAUUCCUUUUGUUUUGAUGAGAUUAAGGCGGCGGUGUGGAUUUGUGAGAGUUUUAAAAGUCCUGGACAAGAUGACAUUCAUAUGGGGUUUAUCAAAGAUUUUUGGCUAGAAUUAAAGGAUGAUAUUUUGAGUUUCACCAUGGACCAUAAUAUUUUCCUUAGGUUGGGGGGAAGGAGGAGAAGCUUUGGGGUGGCGGCGUCGGUUGUUGGCUUGGGGAGGAUCUAGUGGGGAAGUGUAUAUCUUUGAAUUUUAAUGUUACUUUGUAGGAUACUACUACAAAUGUUUGACAGUGGCGCCCUAAUGUGGCUUAUGGUUAUACGGUCCAUGGUGUGUAUUAAAUGCUUAUGAGGCAGGAGAUGCAUAGUUGCAAUGAAGUUGUUGAUGCAAUUUGGUAUAAAAAUGUGCAUCUGAAGGUUUCAAUUUGUGUGUGGCGUCUUCUCUGCAACAGGUGGCCUAUAAAUGAUAAUUUGGUGCAUCGCGACAUCAUUCCGUCUGAUUCUCUAUUGUGCGUGUCCGAAUGUGGUAACAAUGAAACAAACAUACCACCUUUUAAUUCAUUGUUCAACUUUCGGUGUGCUAUGGCAACAUGUCAAAACUUGGAUUGAUUUGCAUUUCGUGGACCCCCAACAUGUAUUAGAUCAUUUUAUUCCUAUGGCAACAUGUCAAAACUUGGAUUGGUUUACAUUCCGUGGAUCUCCAACAUAUAUUAUAUCAUUUUAUUCAGUUUGAUUACUCUUCGAGAGGCUUCAAACCCCGUCGGUCGUUUUGUAGCUUAUUUGACUUUGCAGUGUUAUGUGCUUUGGAAUGAAAAAAUCACAUACUGUUUUCUAAUAAAGCUAAAUCUAUUAUGCAGCUUCUGGAAAGAGUCAAAAUUAUUUCUUUAAAUUGGCUGAAAGCUAAACAUGUUUGUUUUCCUUUUAGUUACCAUUUGUGGUGGCAACAACCUCUUAUCUGUUUGGACAUUGAUUGACUUUAUUUUUUUGUAAAUUAUUCAGGAUACUAUUGUUACUUGUUCCGCUCUUCUUUGCACAUCUUGUGUGCUAGAGAAUAGAACUUUUCUCAUAUGGUAAUAUAUUUUGUUUGUUAAAAAAUAAAAUAAGAGAUAUAGAUAACAUAGUGAAUAAAAAAAAGUGAUAUAGAUAACAUAGUGAAUAAAAAAAAGUGAUAUAGAUAAUCUUGACAAAAUCAUAUUUUUAAUGUUAAUUUAUUUGAAAACAGUCGUAAAACAUUUUCUCUCAAAUAAAUUGGGUUAAGCAUUACGUAUUUAUAUUGUCAAUUGGAUAAAAAAGAUAUCGACAAUUUUUUUAAACGAAUAUAUAGGCAAUAAUUAGAUUGUAAAUCUUACAAACAAAAAGUUGUCUACCUAUUCAGCUCAACUAAUAAACUUUUUAAUUAUUUUUGAAAUAAUUUAAAAAAAUGAAAUUAAUAUUAUGUGAUUAUACCGAAAGAGAUUUACAUAUAAUCUUGUGAGCAUUGAACAUACAAGAAUAAUCCAAUAAAUAAUUUGCUUGUGAGAGUAAUUACUUUUUUUUUUUCUUUUCUAAAUUAAGUUUACUAGGACUAGUGACGUCUCUGCUCUUUUUCUUUGCCUAAAAAAAGAGUGCGGUGACACAAAUAUAUUAAAAGAAAAGGUGCAGGUAGAUCAGGUAUACCAAAGUUAUUUUAUCAACUUCCUCCGGAAAAGAAAAAAAAAACUAAAACCAUCAUCCUUGUCGGCCCUAUUUUUUUCUCUUUAGAUUUUCUCUUCAAGUUUCUUCAUUGAGGGGUGAUUUUGGGGUCAAUUUUUGAUAUGAAAUCACCUCUCUUCAUCUUUUUCUAGUCCAUUUCAAUUCAAGUAAGUGAUUUUCACAUAGAUCUAGGUUUUUUUCUUCGUGAUUUCGUCAUCCGAGUGUGGUGGUGUGUUGUUCGUCGUCUUGUGCGGUGCUGUUUGAUUUCCUGUCUUGGUGCGAUGUUUAUUUGAUUGAUAUUGAAAAAUCGAUUUCCAAUAAAAGUUUUGGACGUCAACGUUGCAGAUCCAGAGGCAUGUGUAUUCCGAUUACUUUAAUUUUAUCAUAUAUUUUUGUAGGCAUUAUACCGUUAUAUGCUAUUAACUUGAAUGUUGUAAGUUUGUUCGCAGAUUCAUCUUUUACGAUUUGAAUGAAUAUCGUUUUGUUUUUGUAAAAACAGGGGUAGAGCAGGUAUACCAUUUAGAAUACAUUUCACAAGGUUCUCGUGAAGUAUUGUUUAUUGCAAUUGUGUUAUUUUGUAAAAUAUUAAACAAAACUUCCUAGCUAUAAAUAAUACUGUAGCUGGUUAAGAACAAUACUUUCAUGCUAAUAAUUGUGUUCUCCUCUAAUGGCUUCAAAAGAUCACACACAUAUGAAUGGAAACCACAAAAAAACUAGUGAAGAGGAUAAGGUAAGUCAUGAUUAUAAUGAAGUUAAUAUUGUCACUUGCUAGAGAAAAUGGGUCUCUAACCCAAUAUUUGUAUUUUUUUUCAUGGAUUUCUGUGUCCAUCAACUCUUAUCCAAUCCAUAAACUCUUUUCAAAAUUAUUUUAAGGCCAAAGAGAGUGAUGUUUUCAUUGCCUCCAUGCCAAAAGCAGGCACCACAUGGUUGAAAGCCCUUGCAUUUGCUAUUGUUAACCGGCAACAUUUUUCCUCCUUUGAGAAUAAUAAUAACCAUUCAUUACUUACAUUCAAUUCCCUUGAAUUGGUUCCUUACGUUGAAUUUAACCUAGAAAGACCACAUAAGGUUUUAUUCUUGAAAUAUGAAGACCUUAAAGAAGAUGUUAAUUUUCACACGAAAAGAAUUGCAGAAUUUGUGGGAUUUCCUUUCACUCAAGAAGAGGAAAAUAAUGGAGUGAUUGGAAAUAUAAUCAUAGCAGUAAAUGUUAACAGAGAGUUUUUCUUUCGAAAGGGAGAAAUAGGGGAUCAAUGAUAGAAGAAAAAUUAAGUGGAUCAAGCCUAUCAUUUAAAGGGUGACCUUCACUCAGCUAGAGUUGGUGAUUACUUUCAUGGUGUUUUGUUGUAUUUAAUAUGCGGUUGGUGUGUUGGUAGUACCUUGUCUUUUAAAUUUGCAAAAUAAAGACAUGUUAUAUGUCUAAUUAAUUAGGAAAAUGUUAUAUAGACACCCUUUAUUCCGAUACACCCUUGUACAUCCCAUACAUUAGGAAGAGAGAAGAGGAGAUAAAAAGAGAAAGUGUGCUUGUGCGGGGUCCAUGUGGCUACGUGUCAGAUUUUUGUGUGGUGUCAAAGGGUGUAUUGCCACCUAAGGAUGUCUAUGUAUCAUAACUCAAUUAAUUAUGUGGUAAUCUGAAUACCAAAGAACCCCUUCAAGAAACAGUUUGAUGGGAAGUGCGAUUGUGUGUGUAAUUUUUCCUAAAGCAAAUGCAUGGAUAGUCGUUUUUCAUCGGCUAAAUUACCUUUUUGGUCCUCUAACUAUUUAAUUGGUAUCGGAUUAGUCCUCUAACUAAAAAUUGAUUUAUUUCGGUCCUCUAAGUUUCUGACCGUUACUACAUUUAGUCCUUUCUGUUAGUUUUAUUCAAAUAAACGUUAGGGUUUUUGUUAUGUGGGUCCUCUAACUUUAUUUAUUAGUAUCAUUUUGGUCAUAUUAUUUGUUAAGGUAUUAUGAUUAAAUAAUGAUUGAUAUUAUUGGUAACUGUUAUGGUUCAUAUGUAUGUGUGAAACAAGAGGUCAGAUACUCACAUAACACAAAUCAUAACGUUUAUUUGAAUAAAACUAACAGAAAUGACUAAAUGUAGUAACGGUGAGAAACUUAGAGGACCGAAAUAAAUCAAUUUUUAGUUAGAGGACCAAUCCGAUACCAACUAAAUAGUUAGAGGACCAAAAAGGUAAUUAAGUCUUUUUCAAUUUCAAUUUACACGUAAAAAUAUAAUGAAAAUGAUAUUUUCAUUUUCUUAAUAGGGUUUAGGGUUUAGGGUUUAGAAUAAAGAAAUAUAAUAGCAUUUAAUAACAAAUUAGUGCCAAUAAAUUUCCUUUUUUUCUUUUAACUUUUUCUCAAAAAAAAAAAAAGACAUAUACAACAAAAAAAUCUAUGAUGACAACCCUCCAAAAAUAUAUUGUUGUUAUUGAAAUGGUUUUGAAAAAUAAAAAUUUAUGACGGCCCCUCAGAAAAUGUCAAUGCUAUCAACUUUCAAUAAUUUGUUUUUUUUUAGGGAAACUUUCAAAUAGUUGUUGUUAUUGUAUAUUAUUACAAUGGCUAUUGUUACAUAUUUAAUUUGAAAGGACUAUUAUUGCAUAUUUGAAAUGUUGUUAUUACAUAUCAUAAUGGCUAUUAUUACAUAUUUAAUUUGAAAGGACUAUUAUUGCAUAUUUUAAAUGUUGUUAUUACAUAUCAUAAUGGCUAUUAUUGCAUAUUUGAAUGAUUAAUUAAUCAUUAUUAUCUAACACCCUUUCUCUCUUCUCACUGUAUCGGCCGCUGCCUAAAUUCUUAUCUCUGUCGCCCCUUCUUUCCAAAUUCCUUUGGUUCACAAUGUAAACGGCGGUGGUGGCUGAAGGUGCGAAGAUGGAACAACCAUCCGCAUCACCUCUAGUCACUGUUCUCUCGGCGCUGAUUUCGCAGAAAGAAUGUGUUCUUGGUGCGUUCUUGUUUUUUCCGGUGGGUACUCCGACGGCUGCGUUUUCCAAUAUCGUAGCUUGUGGUUGUGGUGGUUUUCAAGGUGGUUUUUGAUGGUUUCUUCAUCUCCUCUAUACGUUUCCAUGGUUUGUUUUAGUGGUUUUCAGAUAUGUUCCAUUUAUGGCUAUUUUCGAGCUAGUUUUUGGUGGGUUAAGUUUUUUUUUUUUUUUUUUGUGGUGGAUUGGUGGUGACUCUAUGGUGGUUAUGGGGUGGAUCGGUGGUGGUUAAGUGGUGUGGUUGUUGCGUCGGUGAGAGGUCGUUAUGGGGGUGGUGGUUAAUGGUUCACUAGUCGGCCAUAGGUGUGUGGUUGCGGUUAUGUGGUGUGUGUUGGACGAGGUUGUGGUGGCUUGGUGGUGGUGAGGUGUUUGUGGUUUGGAGGGUAUGGGUUGGUGGUUGUUGAGGAGUUCGUAGGUUAUUUUUUUGGCUAUGUUGGUUUGUGGUGCUUCGUGGUGGUUUCAAUGGUGGUGCUGGUACUAGGUCUUUUGUGGUGGUGCUCGUGGUGGUUUUUGGUGGUGAUGCUCGUGGUGGCUGGUGCUAGUUUUUGGUGAGGAUUAAUGAUGGUUUUUGUGGUGGUUAAUGGUAGUUUUGGUGGUGCUUGUGGUGGCUACGCUUUUUGUGUGUUUUCUUCUAUGAGUUUGUUGUUGAGGGGAUUUUCAAAUACAUGAUGUUAGACGGUGUUGCUUGUUUAAGGUGCGGUUACAUGAGUUUUUGGUAGGUUUGAUGGUUAUUGGAGAGGUUUUUCAACGGUAUGACACAAGAUUUGUUUCUGCUAUUGCGUAGGCGUUUAGACUUUGAUUUUUUUAGAUGAUUUCUUGGUUUGGUGUUUAGUCUCUAUUGGUUUCGAGGACCCUCCGUGAAGGGUGUUUUUGGUUUGUUUGUAGAAGUUUGUAUUUGAUACAUGGGUGUUUGUUUGUGUGUUCCGCAUAUAUACGGCACACUUUUCCUGUGUAUGUUGUUUUUUAAUUCUCCUAGCCUAGCAUUCCUUGUGCUUGCUAGAAUUCUUUGCAUGUUAAAUAAAUUUCAUUUUAGCUUCUUCAAAAAAAAAUCAUUAUUGUUGUAUAUUUUGUUGUGUGCU
rnacentral:lncRNA from 1 species